AUCAACAUUAUGCAAUCUAACAUAUUUGUCUAUUUCCUAAACAGAUGACCAUGAUCAUCAAUGAAACUCUAAGAUUGUAUGGUCCAUCAAAUGGCCUGGCAAGAGCAGUUACAAGAGAAGUUCAGUUGGGAAAACUACUCUUGCCUGCUAAUAUAGAUAUUCUGCCUUUAAAUAUUGGACUUCACCGUGACCCUCACUUUUGGGGAGAUGAUGUGCAUCAUUUUAAACCCGAGAGAUUCGCUGAAGGGAUUGCCAAAGCUACCAAUUACACCACGGCUGCAUUUUUUCCCUUCGGGUUGGGACCUCGAUCUUGUGUUGGUAUGACAUUUGCAACAAUAGAAACAAAGGUUGCUCUCUCCAUGAUUCUACAACGUUACACAAUUACCCUCUCCCCUGCCUAUGUCCACUCUCCAAUACCUAUUCUCACCCUUCGACCACAACAUGGAAUUCAGGUAAUACUUGAGCCGAUACAUAGUAAUGCUUGAAGUACAUAGCUGCUAAGAAAUAAGGGUUUAACAUGGUUCAUGUAUUUUAGUUUUAAAAGAUGACAUUUAAUAUGUAUAAGGUUCUAGCAUUUGCAACCCCUUCCCUCCUAUGGUGUGCCCACCUUCAUACAUAAUGAAAUGCAAGUAGCUACUUAUUUCCAAGAUGCUAAAACACACAAUCAAUAAAGAAGAAUAUGUCGAGGCAAGUUUUGGGAGCAGUGACUCGAGAAAUGACAACUGCGUUUGGCACGCGCAGGUCACAUAACUUUUAGCAUGUUUGAAAAAAAAUAUUUUGAUUACUUGCUUGCAUCUUUUUUAGGAUUUUGUGCAUCCAAUCUUGUGUUUAUUAUUUAAUUAAUCUCAGAUUGAUUUUUCUUAAACUAGUGGUUAUACUAAGGCUUGUUAGCGGAUUAAACUUUGUGCAAAACACUAUAGAUGUAGAUGUGUUUCCCGUGAUGGGAUUUGUAUCUACUAAAAAUAAAUUCCUACACUUGAAACCAAAAUUAAAUUUGUAGUAUAUAGAGUAGGGUUGAUCCCACAAAGGUUGAUCUAUCCAAAUUUCUAUUUCUUUAUAACUAGAACGUGUCCCGAGCAGUUUUUAUGCCCAUGACUUGUGCCAACCUAUACGAAAAACUAAGGGGAAUUAAAUCUGAAAAAUAAAUAAACAACAAAAAUAAAUUAAUAAUUAAAAUGAAGUAGAAAUAAGUAAAAUGAAAUUAAAAUUGAAUAAACCGAUAAAACAAAAGCUUUAGCUUCAAGCUCGAUUUUGACUUAGUCUUCAAACUGAUCACGGAGAAUGAAUUUUUUUUCCUUUAAUUAAUAAGUCAAUUAUAGAUGCCAAGGAACGAACCUCAAAGCACCUAAUUCUUCCAUAGUGGUAAAUUAAUUGCGGGAACAGCUCGACGGCUAAGCCUUAUCAAGUGAAUAACCUUGAAAGUAGCAUUGGUGAUUUAAUUCAUUGGUAGCCUUGCAAACUAAAAGAACCUGACUCAAAUCAACGGCCUCAAUUGUAUGAGUCAUUUAAACUUAAUUAUUAACUUCUUUGAUGGAUCCAACCACUCACGCCAUUUGUCAUGUCAAUUUGUAAUUCAGUGGAUCUAAUACAACAAUUACGGAUAGCAUCGAUUCUCUAACUUUAUGUCGUUCAACACUAAACCAAGGGACUCUUCUUGAUUUUGAUGCUAAAAUAACAUUGAGAAGUGAUCAAGUUUAUCUUUUAAAUUGGAGAAUUAACGAAUACCGAAAUGGAGAAUAUAAAUACGAUUUUAAAAGUUCACUGUUCAAAUAUUGGAUCAAUUAUCAAUCUAAAACUAGGUUAAAUUUAACAUCUCAUAAAUUAAAAAACAAGAAAAGAAAAUAGUUGAAGGAGAAUAUUUAAUUGAAAUUAAAAAAACACUAAAAUAAAAUCAAAACAAUAGUUAAAUGAUGAAGUUGCUUUGAAACUGGAGUUACCAUUUUCGUUGGAGGAGAUAACAGAGGCAGUGUGGAGUUGCGAUGAGUCGAAAGCAUCUGGGUCGGAUGGCUUUAAUAUGUGCUUUUUUAGAAAAUGUUGAGAUGUUGUAAAAGAGGAACUUUUUAGAAUGAUGUUAGACUUUUUUAGAUCUAGAAAGCUUGAGAGGAGCAUAAAUUCUUCAUUUAUUGCACUCAUAUCCAAAAUCGAAAAUCCAAAUAAAAUAUUAGAAUUUAGACCAAUUUUUUUGGUGAGCUUGUUGUACAAGAUAGUGGAAACGGUGUUAUCUCGAAGAAUUAGGGAGGUUGUUGGAGAGGUAGUGAGUGAAACACAAUGUAAAUUUACCAGAGGUAGACAAAUAUUCGAUGGAACUUUAAUUGUAAAUGAAAUUAUCCAUUCGAUUAAAAAGAAAGAUGGUAUUGGGGGGCAAUCUGAUUUUUAAACUAGAUUUUUCUAAAGCAUAUAUAUGAUUGUGUUUGUUGGGAUUUUUUGGAGUUAGUUUUACUCAAGAUGGGAUUUGGCGAGAAAUGGAUAGAAUGGAUUAUGGAGUGUGUAUCUAUGGCGAGAGUAGCAGUAAUUAUCAAUGGGUCAACCAAAAAUGAAUUCAGAUUCCGCCGAGGUCUCCAUCAAGGAUAUCCGUUAUCCCUAUUUUUAUUUAUCCUAGUGACGGAAGUGCUACAUUUCUCGAUGGAUAAAGCAGUGGAGAUGGGACUAAUUUAGGGCAUUCAAGAUGUUAUUCCCGUGUAGAUUUUUUCUCAUUUACUAUUCGCGAACGAUACUAUACUAUUCUUGAGAGCAGAUGAAGAUGAGGUGAGAAAUUCGAAGUAUAUUUUAUGGUGUUUUGAGAUCUUUUCAAGUCUUAGUAUCAAUUUCAAAAAAUCAUGUUUAGUAGGAUUUGAUGUGAAUGAAGAACUCUUAUAUCAAAUGGCUACAAUAUGUAAGUGUAAGAUAAGGUUUUUGCCUUUUAAUUAUCCAGGGAUUCUAUCGGGAGCAAAUCUGAGGAGAGUAUCCACUUGGGACGCAAUUGUAGAGAGAUUCAAGAAGAAAUUAUCGGGAUGGAAAUGUCGUCCGCUCUCAUGGGCUGCAAGGAUUGUAUUGAUUAAUGUUGUUUUGUCUGCCUUGCUAAUUUAUUUCAUGUCUAUAUUCCAAGCUCCAGUGACAGUUAUUAAAAGGAUCGACAAGAUAAGGAUAAAUUUUCUUUAGAGGAGUAUAAAUGGUAAAAGGAAGAUGGCAAAGGUAAGCUGGAAACAUAUAUGUAAGCCAAAGGAGAAGGGAGGAGCAGGAGUGGUGAAUCUCAUAAUUAAAAAUAGAGCUUAUUAGCAAAAUAGAGUUGGAGAUUCGCGGUUGAAAAAGACGCGCUGUGGCGAAAACUCAUCCUAGCAAGGUAUGGUUAGCGCACGCAACAGUGGCGCUUUAGGACGACUAAUCUAAAAAAUAUGUCGAUUGUAUGGAGAGGUAUUGUAGAAAAUUCUAAAGACGCUAAUUGUAAUACCCCUAACCCUUAUCCAUCACCAGAAUAGGGUUAUAAAGCUUUACCAGACUUUUCAAAAUCAAACACGAUCAUUUCAUAACAUUUAGUAUACAUAUUAAAAACUAUUCAUAUAAUACUCAUAUUGUCCCUUAUAUAGGCCCUCAAGGCCCAAAAUACACUUUAGAAGUGAGUCGGGAUUAAACCGGACACUCUAGAAAUUUUUCGCGAAAUGUCAAAAUUUUCCUUAGAAAUAAGGAACACACGCCCGUGUGGCCAAGCCGUGUGGCUCACAUGGCCUGAAGACAUGCCCAUGUCCUAAGCCGUGUGGGCAUUCAAUGUGAGGCACACGGCCGAGUCCCAGCCCGUAUCCUUACCCGUGUAAUUCUCUGACUUGUGUCACAUGGCCAACCACACGCCCUUGUGCUAGGCUGUGUGCAAAGUACAGGGGUCACAUGUCUGUGUGCUAGGUCGUGUGUAAAAACCUAGGCAUUCUGUUUUGAAAUUUCAAGGUGCAGGGGACACACGGCCAGAUCACAUGCCCAUGUGCCAAGCCGUGUGUCACACACGGCUGAGACACACGCCCGUGUCUCUGCCCGUUUGGACGAAAAUAGGCCAUUUUAAGGCCACUUUUCUCACCUUUUUUGACAUCAACCUAUAGACAGCAAUUCAAUAUACCAAAUAUCCCUAAUCAAGCAAUAAACACAAGCCAAAAAUCAUGUUUUAAGCAUAAUAAGCUAUCACGAAAUUCAAUUGUCUAAAUUUGCCAAACUAACUUCAUUCAUUGAUUUACCAAAACCUACUCCUAGCUAUAUACAUACAAACACACGCAUAUAUAUAUAAUUGUCAUUCAUAAUUAUACUCCAAGUAUAGCCUUUUUCAAUCCAUCCCUAUACAUGCCGUAUAAACCAUAAAAUGUACAACAAAAUCUACCGGAGUAAUCUAGAUAGUGUGACCCGAUGUGUUGAUUCGAACUUCUUGAAAAUCUACAAAGAACAUUAAACAACACAAGUAAUCUUAAUGAAGCUUAGUAAGUUCGUUGGCUUAAUACAUAAAUCUUACCGAACAUACCAUGACAAUUCAUUUAAGUAAAUCGUUCAUUACACAUUUCCUGCCAACUACAACUUUAAUCGAUGAAUUCGCUUCUUUGAGCUCAAUAUCAAUAAUAACCUAAAUUCUUCCACAUUAAUUCCAUAUAGCACUUGCCACUUCUUGUCAAUCAAAGAACGAUUUACGGAUUUGAGUACAUCGUAAACAAAAGCCCAAAGGUUGCACGAAAGAACAUAAGUGCUAAACUGAAACCUAUAAGGGUUGAACGAAAGCUCAUAAGAGCUAAAUGGAAACCCAUGAGGGUUAAACUGAAGCUCAAAAGAGCUGAACUAAAACUCAAAAGGGUUAUACUAAAGCUCAAAGAGCUAAACGGAAACCCAUUAAGGUUAAACGGUAACUUGUAUAAGUUAACUAAAGCUCAUGAGAGCUAAACGGAAAGUACACACGAAAUUUUGCAACAAAUGCUGAACCUUGAUUUACUUGGGUAAUUUACCGUCAAUUCCUCAUUUACACAGAACGACCUUACUCAAUCCGGCAUUCUGUUUGCUUCAAACAUUCAAUUCAAUUUCAUAACUUUAACAAUAAUAUUAUUUUCAACAAAUGACAUGAAUAAAUACAUAAUGUCAUUCAUCAAUUUAACAGUUAACAUUUAAAUUUAACCAUACGAACUUACUUGGGCUAAAUUGUAGAAUUCGUAGUAAUUCGGGGACUACUCAGCUAAUUUAUCUUUUUCACGAUUUUCUUCAGGCUCUUGAUCUAUAAUAUAAAAUUGUUCAUUUCUCAGUAUCUAAAUCAAUUCUAAUUCAUUUCAGAACUUAUGCCCUUUAAUUUUUGAAAUUACACAUUUGCCCCAACUUUUACAUUUUUUACAAUCUAGUCCCUCAUCAAUUUACCCAUCAAUUAAGCUAAUUUUUCUCAAUUAACACUUUAUCUAAUUAUUUUAAGUUACCAUAUACCCUUGAUAUUUAGAAUUUUAACACCAAACCCUAAUUCUUAACCUUUUUACAAUUUGGUCCUAAUAUCAAUAUCUAUCAAAAUUACUUAUUAAAAUCAUUAUAUAACAAAAUUAAAGCUUAAAUUCCAUGAUAAUUCAUCAUAAAAAUCCAUCAAUCAUCAAUGGUAACUUUUGAAAUUACCCAUAGAAUCAAAAACUAAUGAAAUAAGUAGUCGGACCUAAUUGUAAAAGUCUCAAAAACACAAAAAUUUCAAGAAAAGAGCAAGAAUUAAACUUACAUGAAGAUAAAAUAUGAAAACCAGCCUUGAGAGCUUUUCAAUGGUGUUUUUGGCUAAAGAAAAGUGAAGAAAUGUCUAGAGAUUCAAUUUAGUCCAAUUUUAACUAUUUAAUUUUAUUUCUUUUCCAAUUUUGCCCCUUGUUCACACUUAUCCUUUGAUUUUUUUCUGCUUGUACCGUCCAAGCCUUUCACUUUGGGCUAAUUUUCCCUUUUAGUCCUCCCUUAUUAAACACUUAAGUUAUUUAAUCAUUUUAGCAAAUUUUGCACAUUUUUCAAUUUAGUUCUUUUUAAUUAAUUAACCAUCAAAACGUUAAAAUUUUCUAACAAACUUUUGAUAGUAACUCAAUGACACUCCGUAAAUAUUUCUAAAAUUAUUUACAGCUCAGUUUAUAAAUUUUAGGCCUCGAUACCUCGUUUUCAAAACCACUUUUCUUAAAAUUCUUCUAAAACACAAACCACCAAAUCAAAAAUCUUUCUAAAAUCACACUUGACUCGUAAAUAAUAAUUAAUAAAAUUUUCAAACUCACUCGUCAGAUUUAGUGAUCUCGAAUCACUAUUUUUGACACCACUAAAAGUUGGACUGUUACACUAAUGUUUCUAAAUGGGUGGGGAACAAAGCUUUUAGAUGGAUGGUUGGGAAUGGAAGGAUGGCGAUGUUUUGAGAGGAUAUUUGGUGUUGUAAUCAACCACAAAAAAAAAAGAAUUUCCUAGAGUUUUUCGCUUAGCAAGAAAAAAGAAAGGUAUGGUAACAGAUUACUCGAGCAACAAUGGUUUCAGCAAUAUGAAUUACGGUGAAUUCUAACGAAGCUUUUAGAUGGAUGGUUGGGAAUGGAAGGAUGCGAUGUUUUGAGAGGAUAUUUGGUGUUGUAAUCAACCACAAAAAAAAAAGAAUUUCCUAGAGUGUUCCGCUUAGCAAGAAAAAAGAAAGGUAUGGUAACAGAUUACUCGAGCAACAAUGGUUUUAGCAAUGUGAAUUAUGGUUAAUUCUUUACACGAACAUUAUUGGAUAGAGAGGUUGUGAUGCUUCGUAGAUUGGAGGAUAUGGUGAAAAGCAUGGAGUUAGUUCUAGAGGUGAAGGAUCAGCUAAAUUGGGUGCAUGAUAGUAAUGGGGAGUUCACGGUAAAGAAGUUAUCUAACUUAUUAAUUAAGGUUGGAGGGGAAGACAUAAGUUUUGCUUUUGAAAAAAAUUGGAAGUUAAAGGUACCACCGAGAGUGCGAAGUUUUCUAUGGAUGCUUGCUAUUGAUAGAUUCCUACAAAUGAAUUUCUUGUUAAAAGAGGGGUAUAGCUUCAACACAUUUCAAUCAAAUGUGCAUAGUAUGAAAGAGUACCAGAGAGAGCAGAUAAUCUAUUCUUCAAAUGCAAAUAUAUUGAAGGGUUUUCGUAUAAAUUUUUCAAAUGGUGGGAGGUUGAAUGGAAAUCGGUAGAACGAUUUGCUAAUUUUAUUCUUUGUGUUAUAAUGUGAAAUUGUUAGGAAUCCGAAGAAUGUUAUGGUUGCUAUCAAUUUCGGCAGCUUGCUGGUCAGUGUGGACAGAAAGAAAUGAAAUUGUCUUCGAAAGAAAGGUGAUGACUAUGGAAGCUUUGAUAUUUCAAUCCAAGAUGAGGGCAAUGUUGUGGAUAAGGGUUGUAUAUGAUGAGUUAAUGGUGCAGGAGAGCUCUUGGUGGAUUUGUCCGAACAAGUGCAACUUUAAUACAAUUAAACCAGAUCCUCUUCGUCGAUAUGGCGCCUUCCUCCACAAGGCUAUCUGAAUUUCAAUGUAUGCGGGAUAGUAAAUGAGAAAGUUGCAGGUUGUGGUGGAGUACUAAGAGAUAUGGAGGGUGUUGCAAGAGCUUUAUUUUCGGGUCCUAUUGCAGCUAAUGACGCAGAUUCAGUAGAGGUAGAGGCAGUGUUUAUAGCAUUGGAUUUGUUGUUAUCCAUGGGAUGGAAGAUUAAUAGCUCUCUUAUUGUAGAAAUUAGUUCAAAAAUGGUGUACAAUUGGUGUCUGAACAAGAAUAUGAGACUGUGGUCGUUACAAACAACAUUUUCAGAUAUUGAAAGGAAAAUUGAGCAGGUUGGUAGUGUAGUAUUCUUGAUGGCAGAUCAAAAGGUAAUGAAAUGGCUUCAACCUUGGCGAUAGUAGGUAUUAAUCGUGGUGACAUGUUUAAAGCUUGUUAGUGAGUAUUAGCUUUGAUUUCGAAUAAUAGUUUUCAAUUGUAGGAAAUGUUUCAUUGUGGUAUUUUGUAAGUUGUACCUUUGAAUGUUGUUCUUGUUGUAUUUACAAUAGAUUAGUUUGAAUGAAGCAAAAAAAAAGUUGGUGGGUACCGUGUGCCCCCUCUCUUCACGCCUUACUAUAUAAUAAUAAUAAUAAUAAUAAUAAUAAUAAUAAUAAUAAUAAUAAUAAUAGACAAGCUUAAGAAUAUAAAAAGCCUUUACUCAUUGCCUAAGAUAAAAUUUAAUCCUCAUUAAUAUCUUAAAGAGAAAUCUUUCUAAAUAAUAAUAAUAAAAUAAUCCUAAAUUUUAAAUGUCUUGUAUGUCAACUUCUCAAUCCAACGAUAAAUUUACUUUUUUAUAUUGUACUCUAACACUUCGAACAUGCGCUAUAUUUAUAUAGAAAAUAGUCAAUAAAAUACCAAAGUAGUAACAUCCAUGUCCAAAAUUAAUCAGAAUAAAUCAUUAAAAAAAUGUCUAUUAAGAACAUUAUCAAAUCCCCCCUUAAUCAAUACUUGCCCUUAAACAUUUUAUGCAUUCAUCAUCUAAACAUAUCACAAUCAUCAAAGCCAAUUCAAUUUUCACAGUCCUUAGUUCAAUAAAAAAAAUAAGCACUAUCAAAAUUUUAACCCUACAACCGUCUCGCUCAAGCAAGCACAUAGAUUAACAAUUUAUGAUAAGUGCUAAAAGUAACAUAUUUUAACCUCGUUCUAUAACAUCUCAAAAUUGGGGGUUAGAAGUUUUGAGGUUUGUAGUGAGGGUCAGCGAGUAGGUCGAACAAUUGGUUUUAUUUUCGCUUUUUAAUAUCAAAAUGAGCUUGUUGGUUUGAUGGUAGAGUAUGUUACUAGUUUCCCUUGGACGAGUGUUUGAAUCCCAAUGUGAGAAUAAAGGAAGUUUUGUUUUAAUUUUAUUUAUAUUUUUUAUUUGAAAAAAAUAGAAGAAAAUCCUAAAAAUUUCUCACGUUCUCCACUUUCUCUUUCACAUCAGUCUCCCUCUUUCGGUAAAGAAAAAUUAUAGAUUCUGAUUUUCUUUCUUUUCUUUAUUGGGUUUCAAUACUUUUGUAAACCGCUGCCUUAAAAUCCUGGUGGUGCUUUUGUUCUUCGUUUGAUCAGACGUCGAAUAGGUUUAUUCGGUUAAUACUUGGUAAUUUGAUAUAAAUUUUAGGUCGAAAUUGUUUAUAGCUUUAGUAUGUUUGCAGAACUGAGUUUCAGGUCGUUAGAGUAAAGGCGAAGUGGUCGGUUCUUGGUGCUCUGGAACAUCAAUCAGGUGUGUGUUCUGAAAAUGUUUAAUUUUGGUAUCGAAUUGCUAUUGGAUUCUAUGGAAUUCAGCAGUUUCUAGUGUGUUUAUGAAAUUGUGUGAAUUCGGUAACGAAUUGUUGUUGGAUUUUAGGGAAAUAUGCAAAAUUCUGAUGUGUCUUGAAUGGUUAGCGAUUUGGGGUUUGUUUUGCUGUUGUGAAAUUGCAAUUUUAGCUUGUUUCGGUGUGGUUUCUUUACCACAUGGGCGUGUGCCGCACACGAGUAGUCCACACGGUCGUGUGACAUUGGAAAUUUGGGAUUUUGGACUUUUUUUAGUGCCACACGGUCGUGUGGCAGCUAUUUAGGGAUUUUUGUGUGCCUUGGACACACGGUCGUGUCCCUUAGCCAUACGGGCAUGUGAGAUUCCCACACAGCCCUGUUUACUUUGCUCCUUAUUUUGACAUUUUUGGACAGUGAGUGACAUUAAUUAUUCACACGACCAUGUAACUCGGUCGCACGGGUAUGUGUCUCCUCCACACGAGAGUGUACAGCUUGCACACGGGCGUGUAGACCACCACACGACCUAGUAGACCUCCACACAACCUAGGCACUACCACACAGCCGUAUGGCCCUGUUUUGCAAAUUUUUGUUCAGUGUUGAAAUUUUGCUCGUUUUGUGUUUCUGUAUAUUUCAACCCUUGGUUAAGUCUUGGUAACUGUAUUUGGGACUCCGCUGCAAUAUGGAUUUAAGUGUGUAUGUAUGUGUUCAGUUUAGGUAAUCAGGAAAUGUAUUAAUGGAUUAUGAUGAAUGAGCUUGAAUUGCUUACUUGUUGUCGUAAUUCUGAAAUAUGUACAAACGCUAUUGAUUUUGAAAUUGUUCGGCUGAAUGUGAGUGACGGUCUCUGUGAGUCUAUUAGCGUAUGUUGUGCAUUCAUGCAUUUGCAUAAAAUCGAGGUUUUUAGUUGCGAAGAGAAGGAAGGCUGAUUGGGUAGUUCAACUGCAAUAUUUUUGUACAGCAGUUUACCGUAAUGAUUUAUACAUUUGUCAGCUAAGCUACAUAUUGUUAUUCGAGUGGCUUAGUUCCACAAUAUGUGGUGUGUAGGGUAGAUGGGCCUAUCAUGGUCCUAUGUCGUGUGCAGGGUGGACGGGCUUGAUAUAGCUCAUAGGUGGUGUGCAGGGUGGUCGAAGUGGUCUUCAGAUGGUUGGGGUGGGUUUUUGACUCGUUACAUUCGCUACGCAUCUAAAUAUAUGUUUGUUUAUGUGAGCAUUGAGGUGUUGGAGAUAUGACCAUUAUAACUUGAUGUGUUUUAUCUAAUAUGUGGUUUGGUAUGCUUUAAAAGCACCAUGUUAUUGAAUUACCCAUUGAGAUUUCCAUUUAUGAUUUGUGCUCAUAUACUGUUUUGGAAUACUCGAUGUGUUACUCCGUUUUGUUGAUUGCUUUUGAUUUCAGACUCACAUUGAGCUCAAGUAGCUCACCUCACCUUAGUGUUUCAUUCUUCGAGGUACUUUUCGUGUUCGAAAGCUGGACUCGGCAUGCCGGAGGUUUCAGACUAUCGAGUAAAUUGAUUUUGGUUCAAAUGAUGCUACUUAAAAAUUCAGUUGUUAUUUUCAAAUGGUUCGUAGGAAAGAUUAUAAAAAAUGUGGUAUGAGUUAAGUCUGGAUUUUCGAUCAACUAGUUGUUACGGUUUUAAACAAUUUAUAUGUUCCGUUAUAUCAAGGUUUCGAAAUUUUGGUUUGUGAAUGACAAAUUUAUGCUUUCAGAACUGUCAAAUGAUUCCAUAAGAAUUACUUCCGACUUGCGUCGAAUGCCAUUUAAAUGAUUCCAUAUGAAUUACUUCCGACUUGCGUCGAAUGCCAUUUAAACUUUGUUUCAAAAUUUAAUUAAGUGUUAUCUAACUUUCUAAAAUUACAUGCUUGUGACAGAGUUUUUAUCUCAACCACUUUAGGUGGUCAAUGUGACCUCCGAGAUUCGGUCUAAACUUUUAGGUCGGGUUUUAGGGUGUUACACAUUCUUAGUGUGUUUUUGGGUGAUUAUUCAAUGUUAAUGGUGAAUUUUAUGCUUCUAAUCCUUCAAAUUCUUAUUUUUAUGCUUAAAAGGGCAUUUGGGAGUAAAACAAGCAAAAAUUGGAGUAAGGUACAAGAGACACACGGGUUGACCCCUUCCACACUUCCUGAUAUUUAAAAUAAUCUAGAAAUAUAACCGAUUUUGAAAUAAAAUUUAAACAGAUUCUGAAAAAAAUUUUAACAGAUUCCCUAAAAAUCGUGGUUUUUCGCAUUUCAAAGUGCAAUUCUGCAAAAUUGACAUGACCUGCCACAUUGAAGCUGAUUUUGAAGUAGAUUUCUGUCAAGAUUGAAGACUCCCAGUUGAUUUCUUUGGAGAUUAUCAUUUCUUUAUUUCUUUCGGUUAUAUUAUAUCUUUGAUGUUUUUAUUUUCAAGCAUGAACUAAUUUUCUAAAUACAUAGGGAGAUGAACCCUAGGAUGGAUUCUGUCGUUUGAUUUUUAUUUUGCUCAAUAAAUACUUAGAUCUUAAUUCUUGAUAUAAUAUUUCUAGAUUAUUUAUCCAUGUUUGGUGUGCUUAAAUCAGAGGAGGAAUAGACCCUGUUUAAGAGUAGAUCUUGCGUAAUUGAGUGGAUUUGCAUGCAAUCCUAGACAUAAGACAACAUAAAUCUAUCGAAUUAGAGUCAAAUCUAAUAAGGGAAUUCAUAGCACAAGUUAAUGCGAUAAUAGGGGUUUUAAUUAGAAAGAAAUUUCAAUUAAUCAAUCUUGAGUUAGUUGCUCUUAUUCUCGAAAGAAAUAUUUGUAUAAUCUAGGGAUUUUUACAAAUCAAGUUGCUAAGUAAAGAAAUUGCGUAACUUAGAUUGAUAACGACAGAUGAAACCUAGAUGAGUAUUGUUUCGCUUCUUGGUUGUUAAUCGCUUAUUUUUCUGAUAUAUUUUUUGUCACAUUCUUUAGUUAGUUAAUUUAGUUAAUUUUAAUUUUAAUCAAUCACUCAAAUUUAUCGGUUAAAUAAUAAAAAGACAGUAUUUACUAGUACUUUUAGUCUUCGUGGAAACGAUAUCUUUAUUCACCGUAACUAUAUUGUUAAUUGAUACGUACACUUACCUUAGUCAAAUUUUUAGUUGUUCACGACACAUCAAUUCAAUUAAGCAUACAAUUAUUAAAUUAUCUCAUAAUUAAGCUGCACAACAUUAACUUACGUUAAAUUGUCAAGACACCAAAAUUAACAACCAUUUGUCCCAUAUUUUUGUGUUCAUUUUUUUUUCUUUUAAAAGUUUAUCUAGAGUGUCACGAGAUCUUUUUCCAUGAAAAAGGAUGACAAUCCAAACACUCCACUCCGAUUAAUCAAUUCACCACAUGUUGACUAACUUUAGUCAAAAUUGUUAAGAUCAAUAGAAUAGCUGAAUAGCUUAGAAUGUCACUAAAUCUUUUGACGUGAAGACAAAUGACAACCUAAGCACUUGACUCAAGUUACUCAAUCGAUCACAAUUCUAAGACUUUACUCAUAAUUUAGGCAAUUAAUGAGUAUUUAUUAAAUUAUUUUAUUGAUUAUUUUUUUCAAUUUUUUUUUGUUCGAAUGCAAGAUGAAACAUGUUUUAAGAGUAUUAAUCUCGUUAAAAAUUGCGUGAGCCUAAUUUUUUUUUUUUUGGUGAGUGCUUCAGCUAAGUAAUUAAUAAUUAUUAUUAUUUACUUUAAAAUAAAAUAAAAUUCAUGUAAAAGAGUAGCAUAUAUAGGCAGAGUAUUUAAACAUGCUUAAUAGAAAAUAUUCUAUCAAUUUUUGAAUCGCUUAAACAAUAAAAUGAUAUCUAAAUUAUAUUAAUUUUUUAAAAUUGGUAUUUAAAUUUUUCUUAAGUCAAAAUGGUACCUAAACAAUUAAUCUAUUAUCUAUUUAAUUCAGCCAAUCAAUUGCCACGUAAAUAUCUAUUUAUUUUUUUCAAAAUAUUACUAAAAUUUGAUAAAUAAAAUUAAAAAUAGUUAAAAAUAAAACAUCAUAAAUUUAAUAAAAUUUAAACCUUACGAAAAAAACAUUUUACUGAUUGAAAAAACAUCAUAAAUUAAUGCUACCAACAACUCCUAGAAAGAGUAUCCACUAAUAACAAUAAACUUACAUGAGUGAGGGAUUUAUUGAAACAAUCAGCAACCAAUUUUGACACUUUUUACCAAUUAUUUUAUAUAUUUAUUUUUUAUUAUUAUUAAAAAAAUUAAUUUAACUCUUUAAAAAUUACAAAGAUAUAGACUAUUAAAAUGAUGAAAUUAUUUAUUAUUAUUAUAAAAAUAUACAAUUUAAUUUCGACCUCCCAAUAAAUAUUUCAAAAUCCGCCACACGAAUGAUCCAAAUAAAAAGACGACAGUCAAUACAAUUAAAUUUAAAUUCUCACUUAAAUCCAAAUUCAAAGUAAAACAAAUGUGACAGAAUGAAUCAAAUAGUGGGAGAAUGUUUUUCAAGAAGUAGAAAUGCAAAAAUAGCUUCAAAAUCUACUCUUACUAAAAAAAAAGAAAAAUAAGAAAGAAUUUAUUAUCUUUUAUACUAUUAAUCUCUCACAUAUACGGCCAAGCUACUCUGAACGUACAACGCACCCAUUUGCGUCAUUGCAAACGCAAUUUUGGUCCUUAUGCUAUAAUAAAGGGGGAAAUGAUUCUGGUUUAGACAAGAAAAAUGAAUGCGUUGAUGAAGCUUCUAAUUCUUGCUCCAUGUUGUUUCUUCUUCAUAGCUUUAAUAAAGUUACUUUAUGAUUACCUAUGGAUACCUCUCCGUAUUCAGCAUAUGCUGAAUUCACAGGGGAUCAAAGGACCUCCUUACAGAUUCAUCCAUGGCAACAACAUGGAAGUUACCAAAAUGAAACAAAAUGCUUUAAGCAAAUCUGUGGCCUUGACAGAUGAUCUAUUUCCCAAAGUACAUCCACAUAUUUACACCUGAACCAACAGAUAUGGUAAGAUCCAUGCUUGUUUUUUUCACUAUGAUUUAUAACUUGUAGUUCUAAGAAAAGGUAGACCCUUUUUCUUUUCAUGUUAUUAGGGAAGAAUUUUGUUUAUUGGAACGGUGCUCGAGCUGAAUUGGUGAUUUCAGAGCCUGAAUUAAUCAAAGAGGUUCUGGAAAAUAGUGAACAAAUUUUUCAGAAAAAGAAACCUUCAGAUAUUGGUGGGAAGUUCUUGGGGAAUGGUCUUCUAUUCAUUGAGGGGGAAAAAUAGCCAAAGCAUCGAAAGCUGGCCAAUCACACUUUCCAUGGGGAAAGCCUAAAGGUAAGUCUUCCAAAUAUAUAAACCAGGUGCAAUUAAUUUACAAGAAUUAUACAUAGACCACAAUAUUUUGGUAAAAUUUUGUAUUGUUAGCUAAGGAUAAGUUUAUUAUGGACGUUGAAAAAGUGUAGUAAAAACAUACUUUCGAAGAUUUUAACACCAUUUACUACUUAGGAGGUCAAUUUUAAACUUGAUGCUGUAAAAUAAAAGAUUGAAUCAGAGAUUUAAAAAAAGUAAUUUCAUUAAAAAGCACUCUUUUAGCUUUUAGACUUGGAUUAAAAUCUAGUUUGAAAUAAGAUUUAGUUUGAAAAGGUGUUUAUUUGUCAAAUUUUUUAAUUUAAAAUCAUGAUUUUGUGUUAAAAAGUGUUUUUCAGACUCCAAUUAUAUAUGUCACUAUUACUUACAUGUUGGAGGAUUCUUUGGGCAGAACAUGACUCCAGCAAUAAUUGCUAGUGUUGAAACAAUGCUAGAAAAGUGGAAAGGCCAAGAAGGCAAGGAGAUUGAAGUGUACCAAGAAUUUAGGUUAUUAACUUCAGAAGUGAUUUCCAGAACAACAUUUGGUAGCAAUUACAUGGAAGGGGAGAAGAUAUUUGCCAUCUUGAGCAAGUUGGCAGUAAUUAUGAGUCGAAAUGUUUCCACGACUAGAAUUCCUUUGAUCAGGUAUCUUCCCUCUAAGCUUAAUUAAUCCCAACUUUUACCUUGAUUUCAUGUAGCCUUUGAAUGCAACUUUUAGACUUUCAUUCCCCGUGGAUUUGGUUUUCUCAUAUAUAGCUGACCCUGGUUUGCUUUUGCAGCAAGUUGUGGAAAUCUGCUGAUUUGCUAGAGUCUGAAAAACUUUCAAAAGAAAUGAAAGAUCGUGUGAUGAAGAUUGUUAAGAAAAGAGAAGACAAAGUUGUGAAUGGAGAAGUCAAUAGCUUCCGCAGUGAUUUUCUUGGAUUACUUCUAAAUGCCUAUUAUGAUUCGGAUGCGAAAAACAGGCUUUCAUUGGAAGACGUGGUAGCUGAAUGCAAAACACUCUAUUUUGCUGGACAAGAAACUGUUAAUUCCUUACUUGCAUGGAUAGUCUUGCAUUUGGCAAUCCUUGGAGAUUGGCAAGAAAAAGCGAGAAGAGAGUUGGUUGACAUAUUUGGUAACCAAAAUCCACAUCUCGAAGGCAUCGCCAAACUCAAAAUAGUAAGAAAACUAUAAAACUGGGAAUUCAAAUAGCCAUCGACAUGAUGUAAUCUGACAUAUUAUUCUAUUUUCCAAACAGAUGACCAUGAUCAUCAAUGAAGCUCUAAGAUUGUAUGGUCCAACAAAUGUCCUCCAAAGAACAGGUACAAGAGAAAUUCAGUUGGGAAAGCUAAUCUUGCCUGCUAAUAUAGAUAUUCUGCCUUUAAGUAUUGGACUUCACCGGGACCCUCACUUUUGGGGAAAUGAUGUGCAUCAUUUUAAACCUGAGAGAUUCGCUGAAGGGAUUGCCAAAGCUACCAAUUACACCGCGGCUGCCUUUUUCCCCUUCGGAUUAGGACCUCGAUCUUGUGUUGGUAUGACAUUUGCAAUGAUAGAAACCAAGAUUGCUCUCUCCAUGAUUCUACAACGCUACACCAUUACCCUUUCCCCUGCCUAUGUCCACUCUCCAGUACUUAUUCUUACCCUUCAACCCCAAAAUGGAAUUCAAGUAAUACUUGAGCCGAUACAUAGUAAUGCUUGAAGUACAUAGCCGUUAAGAACUAGAGGUUUAACAUGGUUCGUGAAUUCUACUUUUAAGAGAUGAUAUUUAAUAUGUUUAAAGGUUCUAGCAUUUAUCACAAAGACAAACGACUCGUGGUCAUGUUUACUUUUCAUCUAUCAUGCAAUGUCGAUGAGAAGAUACCAUUUACCAAUUAGUUGGGUUAUGAAUUCUACUAUUUUGAAUGAUGUUACAUACUAUAGAAGUUGUGUAUCCAGUGCACCAACUUUUAAUGGUUCUUUAUCUUAGCCUUUUACUUGCAUCAAAGUAUACGAGCCAUGCAUGCAUAGUCCAUCAUCCACUCAAGAUUAAGGUAUAUCACACUAUGAACAUCACAAGUAAAUAGAUCCAUAAAUGGAUUUAGAAUCGAUUCUCCUUGGGUCUUAUCUGAUGUACUGUCAGUCCAGUCAAUCACAUCUAUGUUUUUAUCUUUUAGGAGUCAUCUGUUCCAUUUGAGACAAAGCUUCUCCACAAUUGGGCUUGAUAGACGACAUAUUAGUUUCUCAAUCGAUUUGCUCAUUUUCAAUUAGACUAAGGACAUAUUUAGGUUUAUCUACUAAUACAAGCUAUCUUUUCAUAUCACGAUCUGACCACGUGAUACCGCUUAGUAUUAAUUUAAACAUUAGAUAACCAAUGAGUCAACAUUUGCUUCCAUUUUGCUUUGCAUGCAAAAACAUUGAGGACAAUAUCCAAAGGGUAUUACUUUAAUUAAUAGAUAUUAUUAAACCAAUUUGUUUGAAAAAUACAAUUAUAUAAAACGAACAUAGUACACUUAGUGUACCAGAUCCAACAGUGGCCACUACAGCUAGCAUUGCCAUUAUAAGCAACAUAACUUGACAUUUUUGGAGUUGAAAUCUUUUCAGCAAAAUCAGUUGGGCAACGACUUAGAUGAUUUUGUGGACAUGUGUUGGCUCAUAUUUGAAGAUCCAUUUUGUGGAAUCAAUCUUUGAAUAUUAAAUCAAUCUGAAUCAAGCAAAUUGGAUCACUUAUUUUGUGGAGAUUGGCUUGACUUAUUUGAAAAUUUAUUUUCGAAAUCUUUGAUUUAUUCUUGACUUUGAGGAUAUUUGUAAAGUUUUUUUUUACAAGGCUAUUUUUUGUGGGAUAUUGAUUCUAAUUGAUCUUUUAUCUUUGCAAACAUUAAAUUCUUAUAUAUUAGAGGCUUGUAUAAGUUAAAAAAAGAUAGAGUUUUUAUAGCACUUAUUUUUUUCAUUGAGGAACUUGUAUUUGAUAGUGCAUUAAGAGUGUAAAUUAAGUUUGUUGCUUGGUUUUACAACCAAAAUUCUCAAGGGAAUUUAGUGGUGAGUGAUUUAGAUCUUUAGAUACAAAAGUGAGGUUGCUAUACCGAGUUGUGAUAGGACUUCAAUAACUUGUUGUCUUGGGAUUAAAAAUAAUGAAUUUACUCACUAAGUUAGGUUUCAUAGACAUAGAAAAAUCGAUAUGCGUAAACAAUCAUUUGUGUUCCAUUUUUUGUUGUUGUGUUCAUCAUAGUGGCAUCAAAGGUUGCCACUACAGCCAUCACUUUGGUCAUCAAUUACGCACUUUAUUUUUUUAAGCAAUUAUCAACUUUAUGCUCCAAGAGAAUGCUUGUUUCUAGUACAAUUGAUCAAUUUUGUAGGAAGCAUAAUGACAAAAAAGAAAAUGGUUACAAUCAACCCCUUCUGUAACAACUCCAUUUGUAUCUUUGCAUGUUAUAAAAAGGUGGUUGUUAUAUACUAUAACAACAUGUUGUUAUAAAAAGAUAAUUAUUGUAAACCUAAAAUAGAAUUUAUAUCGUGAAUUACUAUCAAAUAAAGAAAUUGAGAAUUAUAUUAAAAAAAGGAAAGUAGAAAUCAAAUCAACAAAAUUAAAAGAUGUAUAAUAGGUGCAUGCAUUAUUACCUUUAUAUUUUAUUUUACAUUUUUCACAUGAUUAAUUAUAAAAUUCAUCAAUCUAACAAAUAAUUAAUCGAUAUGAGUUUAAAUUAAAUUAAAUUAGUUAAUUUAUCAUGUGUUAUUAAAUACAAGUAAUUAAUUUAUAAGAUUAUGAUGUUCUAAAUUCAUAGUAAAUUAAUAUUUAAUUAGAGAACUUAAUAGUUUAUUGAAUUGAUAUCUUUAAUUCCACGAAGAUUUUUCAUGUCAAAUUUAAACAUUUUAUUAAAAUAAUAUUUUAGUUAAGAUCAUUUUUAUUUAAUAAAUUAGAAUUCAUAUAAGCAAUAUAAUUAAUCAUAAUAAAUUAUAAUUAAUAGGCUUGUAUAUCGGUCCAGUGUAAUUAAUAGACUUGCUUAAAUGAGUUUUAAAAUAUAUUUUUAAAUUUAAAAUUUUAUUUCUUGAAUAAUGAAUUGUUACCUGCUUAAUUUAUGAAAUAUCUUUAUUGACUUAUUUGAUUGCAUUGGUGAAACAAUUAUUUUAGUAUUUUUAAAUUUUAUGUAUAUAAAAUUUUUAAAAAAAUAAUAAUAAAUCUAAAAUGACACAUCGAAACAGCUGAAUAUUGGCACAUGCGAAUACCAAUAAAAAAAUCAACAUCCACCAAUUUACCCGUUACUUUUUGGUAUUAGGUAGUGGGAGAUUUGGUUUUUGCUUUUGUUUUUGAGAUGUUGAUAUGUUUCACAUCAUCCAUAAGAUGGGCUCUACCUCACCUUUUGUUUGUCUGUUUCCCAUGCUUUCCAUACAAAUCACUAAAAGAAUGGGCUAAAAUGUCAAAUAAACUCUUCAAAAAUAAUUUUUAAAAAACUUAAUUAAGUCUCUUAUAAUAAAGUGCACCAAAUUGAGCUUUUUUAAAUCACAAUUUGCACUUAAUUAAUCCCCUUGAAUUCAUUUUCCCAUUGAAUCCCUUUACGUUCAGUUAACUGCUGACGGGGCAGGUGAUGUGGAAAAAUGAUGGUGUGUUAAUUAGUUUAUAUGGCAAGCUAACAUGGAGGGCUUAAAUGAUUUUUUAUUAUUUUACAAGGGUUUAAUUAAUUAUUUAAAUAAAAAUUAUUAAAAUUUUAAAAAAUCUAAUUUUAAAAUAUAAAUUAUAAAAAUCAUAAAAAAUAUUUUAAAAAUAUUAAAAAUGAUAGAAAAUUUUUAAAUGUUAUAAAUAGUUUAUAAAAACACAGGAAAUUUAUUAAAACAUCGUUAAAUAUAAAUACAUUAUCAUAAAAAUAGCAUAAAAUUUUAGAAAUUAUUAAAAAAUACAAAGAAAUACGAGUAAGUUAGAGAAAAUUAUUAAAAAUACAAAAAAUAUUAAAAAUUAGUAGUAACUUUUAUAAAAAUUAUUAAAUAGAUUUUUUUAUUGGUUUGGAGUGUUUGGCAUUUUCAAUUUUAUUUUUUUGGACAUUAGAGUCUUUGGUUUUAGUAAUAAGGAAAUGGGGAGAUUGAAGUGCGAUGAUCAAACUUGUGAGGGGUUUGAGUGACCAUGGGUUUAGUACUUGAUGGCUUAAAGUGAGCGAUCAAUAGAGGUGUUCAUGGACCGAUCCUGUUCAAAAAAUAAAAAAAAUGUUAAAGAAAGCUUUUCUAAAUAUUUUAUAUAUCUUAUAAUUAAGUUAAAAAUAUAUUUUUAUUAUUUUUAAAAUGGCGAAACGAAUCAUUUUGGCGAGCUAGGUCUAGUUGGGCUCAAGCCUAGAAAGUUUUAUGAAAUUAGGCUUAAGCUCCACCCAACUCAUGAAUACCUCUAGUGAUAUAUAAUGAUGUUGUAUUUGAGGAAAGAUGAUGCGAGGGACAUUAAUAAGGAAGGGUUGAUAUAUGAUGUAUGACAAUGCGUGAGAGAAAACAAAAAUGUGUAAUAAUUUUAAAUUUUUUAUAACUUUUUCUUUAAUUUUUAUAUUUCUUUAUAGUAUUUGAAUAGUUUUAAUAAAUUUUAUAUAUUUUUUCUAAAAAAAUUUAUAACAUUUUAUAUUUUUCUAUAUUUUAAUGUCUUAUAAUUGUUUAUAAAUUUAUAAUAAUUUUUAUGAAUUUUUAAUUUAUAUUUAAAAACUAGAUUUUUUUUUUAGAAUUUAAAAAUCGAAACAAUUGAAUAGGUGGAAUCGCUUCUUUAAAAAAUAUUUUUUUAUAUUUUUAUGAAAUUUUAAUUAUUUAUUUAAUCGUUGUUAGUUUAAGAGCCGAUUGAAUUAAGAAUCGAGAAUUUUAGACAUUGUGUCCUAACUUACGGGACGUGAUUCUUCUUCUGGAUUAACGUAGAAAUAUGCUUCUCUCUUUAAAGUUUAUUUUUCAAAAUUUUGAUAAAGGAUCGUAUUUUGAAUCUUUUUCAAGUUUUCAAUAUUCGACACUAAGACAUUAAUUAAUCAACUAGGUAUCAAUUUUGGGCGUUACGAGGGUGCUAAUCCUUCCUCGUGCGUAACCGACUCCCGAACUUAUUUUUCUAAAUUUCGUAGACCAAAACCGUUGUUUUAAUAAAAUCAAAUCGUUUAUUAAAAACAACUACUUUUCGAGGUGACCCGAUCACACCUCAUAAAAAAAAAGGAUUGGUGGGGACAUUUGUUUUCGUUUUCAAAAUCCAAGUCAAGCCCGUUUUAUCAAAAAAAUGGUUACUAGCUUUAGUCAAAAUUGUUAAGAUCAAUAGAAUAAGCGAAUAGCUUAGAAUGUCACUAAAUCUUUUGACGUGAAGACAAAUGACAACCUAAACACUUGACUCCAGUUACUCAGUCGAUCAGAAUUCUAAGACUUUACUCAUAAUUUAGCAAUUAGUGAGUAUUUAUUAAAUUAUUUUAUUGAUUAUUUUUCAAUUUUUUUCUUUUGUGAUCGAAUACAAGAUGAAACAUACUUUAAGAGUGUCAAUCUCGUUAAAGAUUGUGUGAGCCUAAUCGUUUUUUUUUUUUUUGUGAGUGCUUCAGCUAAGUAAUUAAUAAUUAUUAUUAUUUACUUUAAAAUAAUAAUAAAAUUCAUGUAAAAGAGUAGCAAUGGCAUAGUAUUGAAACAUGCUUAAUAGAAAAUAUUCUAUCAAUUUUUGAAUGGUUUAAACAAUAAAAUGAUAUCUAAAUUAUAUUAAUUUUUUAAAAUUGGUAUUUAAAUUUUUCUUUAGUCAAAAUGGUAUCUAAACAAUUAAUCUGUUAUCUAUUUAAUUCAGCCAAUCAUUUGCCACGUAAAAUAUUUAUUUAUUUUUUUCAAAAUAUUACUAAAAUUCGAUAAAUAAAAUUAAAAAUAGUUAAAAAUAAAACAUCAUAAAUUUAAUAAAAUUUAAACAUUAAGGGAAAACAUUUUACUGAUUGAAAAUACCCUUAAUCAGAUUUUACUAACAAUCCCUAUUUUUUUCAAACAAAUCACAAACUCUUUUAGUUCAAAAAAUUGCAAAUCAUCUUUUUACAACCUUCAUUAAUCCUUUGUGGAAUUGAUAGAAGGGUACGUUUGAAGAAUUAAUUUGUUUUUCUUGAAACCCUUGUUUGUCAAUUUCAUUGAUGAAACCUUUCUAAUUUCAUCAGUAUUUGAUUUUUAUUUUAGGUUAAUCGUAAAACUUUAAUUGAUUUGGGCAAACCGAAGGAGUUGUAAAAAGGUUGAAAGGUAUGAUUUAGGCUUAAGGGUUCUUUUAUAGUUAAUAUGUAGAAUCGAAUGUAUGUGACUUUUGGCAAGUUGUCGGUUCUUGAAAUUUUAUAUUGAGAAAGUAGAACACACCUUUUAAGGGGAAGUUCUUUGUUUGACUCGAGAUUAUUAGUCUGUUGACAAAAAGCCAAAAAAAUGUGCCAUUUGCUUUGAAGUUAUUUAUGAUUGUUUACGAUAAAUUGAGGGUUUUUAAUGGUGUUUAUAUAUGUAUUUUGUUAAGAUACAUAAUGAUACAACUAGAGUUUGUGAUAUGUUUUGAGAUGAUAGGCUUCUCGAUUAUGUGAUUUAUUGUCCUUAGCUAAUUCAAAUAUAGAUUAAUGAGGUUGGUUUAAUAUAUGUUGUAGGGAACAACGAAAAUGGGGAAAUAUUAAAUAUUACCCUAAAACAAAUUGAUAAUUAAUAUAGUUAAAUUAAAUCCAUUUUGUUUUGGCAAAUGAAAACCAUUGGUUUUUAAAGGUUUGAGAAUUGAGGAACCUUUGCAAAACAUAAUGCAAUAUCAUCACUAAAACACUGUUUAUAGGAGCUGAGUAUAAAUACUCUUUUCAUGUCUUUGUUGUUGGGUUUUUUAGGUCUUUUUGUGACAAUUAUCAGUCCUCUCAUUUCAAUAUUUAUGAUAAUAAUACCUGUAAAGCAUGUUGGUCAUGUCUUAUUUUUACUAUACUAAAAUUUGUACUAUUGUAGUACUUAUUAUUAAAGUUCUAGUCCCGUGACAAUUGGUAUUGGACUAAGAUUUGCAGCUUUCUGUUGAGAUGAGGAAAGGAGUAGAAGAGCAGAUUGAACCCAGAGAGACCCAUGGGAGGGGCAGGAACUAUUUAUAUAUUUUUGAGAUGUUGAUAUCUUCCAGAGCCUUUUAUGACCACACACGAUAAUGGGUAAGAUAGGGUCCUACCUGACUUUUGGUUUAUCUGUUUUGAAGGGGAAAAUGGUUCUGGUUUAGAGAAGAAAAAUGAAUGCGUUGAUGAAGCUUCUAAUUCUUGCUCCAUGUUGUUUCUUCUUCAUAGCUUUAAUAAAGUUACUUUAUGAUUACCUAUGGAUACCUCUCCGUAUUCAGCAUAUGCUGAAUUCACAGGGGAUCAAAGGACCUCCUUACAGAUUCAUCCAUGGCAACAACAACGAAGUUACCAAAAUGAAACAAAAUGCUUUAAGUAAAUCUGUGGGUUUGACUGAUGAUUUAUUUCCCAAAGUACAGCCACAUAUUUACACCUGGAUCAACAGAUAUGGUAAGAUCCAUGCUUGUUUUCUUCACUAAGAUUUACGACUUGUAGUUCUGAGAAAAGGUAGACCCUGUUGGUGCUGUAACUGAAACUAACAGACUCAGCACAGACUUGUCGAGCAAGUCUCGAGACUUGCUGAGCAAACAAGAGAAUUCGAGCAAAAGAAAGGAAGAAAAGCUAAGAAAAAAUGAAUAGGAAAAUUGAUGAACAAAACUGAACUAUAUUCAUAAAAUUGAAUAAUGGCAUAAUGCCAAUACAUAAAUCAAGCACUAAGCUUGUCAAAAACAGCAAGUAAUUACCUAAACAUCACCUACUCCCACUAAUUACAUGGAAACUUGAAAUUUUAGCUUGUAAACCUAUACAAAGUUGUGUUUACAGCUCAUACAUAAGCUAAUUACAUCAGUCAACAACCUAACUUAGUUAGAAAUGAACUAAGAUUACAUUUCAUUGACUAGAAAUUACAAAAUAAACAAAAUAAGCUUGCAUCAGCAGCUCCUGUAUGUCUUGGUCUUCAUGGCCUGCAUGCUGUCGAGUUUGUUGCAUGCUGAACCAACUUCAUCACUCCUCCUUGGUUUGCAUGGAGCAAACACCUAGCUUCUUUCUUAGACAUUCGAACCUUGUGACACUAAGGGCUUUGGUUAAAAUGUCUGCAAGUUGAUCCUCUGAAUUACAGUGGAUCAGCUUUACUUCCUGAGCUUGCUCCAUUUCUCGAACAACAUGCAGCUUGAUGCUGAAAUGCUUUGUUCUUCCGUAGAACACUGGAUUUUUAGCAAUUGCUACAGCAGAUUGGUUGUCACAGAAGAUCUCAGUAGCUUCCUCUUGAUGCAUAUUCAAGUCAGCUAAGAUUUUCCUUAGCCAUAUGGCUUGGUUGACAGCACUUGCUGCGGCCACAUACUCUGCUUCAGCAGUAGAUUGAGCCACUAGACUUUGCUUCUUCGAGCUCCAGCAAAACAUGGCUAAACUAAGAUUAAAAGCAUACCCUGAGGUGCUUUUCAUGUCAUCUAUCGAGCCAGCCCAGUCACUAUCAGUGUAGCCAACCAGCUUCAGAUUUCCUUCUUUGCUAUACUUCAAACCAUAGUUCAAAGUGCCUUUGACAUAUCUCAGCACUCUCUUUGCAGCUUGGAAAUGCUUCUCAUUGCAGCAAUGCAGGAAUCUUGAGAGCAAUCCUAUAGCAUACAUGAUGUCUGGUUUAGUGGCAGUCAAGUAUAGCAAACAACCAACUAGACUCCUGUAGGUUGUUUCACAUACCUUCUCAAAAACACCUUGGCUCGAUAGUUUUUCUCUAACAGCAACAGGUGUUUUAGUUGCCUUGUUGUUUUGCAUGGAAAACUUGGUCAGAAUCUUUGUGGCAAAGCUUCUCUGGCUUAGAAAUAUCUCAUUCUGUACUUGAGACACCUCCAUUCCAAGAAAAUAGGACAUCUCCCCAAGAUCAGACAUUUCAAACACUUCCUGCAUCUUGGUCUUGAAAUCAGCCAGCACUGCUCGAUCUCCUCCUGUCACCAGAAGGUCAUCAACAUACAGGGACACAAUGAGUUGUGUUUGUGUCCAUUGUUUCUUGACAUACAGUGUUGGCUCACUCUUGCUUCGAUCGAAUCCCAGAUCAGUCAAGUAGCCAUCGAUUCUGCUGUACCAGGCCCUUGGAGCCUGUUUUAAUCCAUAUAGGGCUUUCUUCAGUUUGUAGACCAUAUGCUCUUUGCCAGCUAUUUCAAACCCUUGUGGUUGUUCAACAUAGAUGUUUUCAUCUAGGAAACCAUUCAGAAAGGCUGAUUUUACAUCGAGCUGAUGGAUCUUCCACUCGAGCUGUACUGCUAAGCCAAUCAGUAGUCUGAUGGUGUCGAGCCUGGCCACUGGUGCAAAGGUCUCCAAGUAGUCCAGGCCAUAUCUCUGACUGAACCCCUUGACUACUAGCCUUGCUUUCAGCUUAUUCAAGGUACCAUCAGCAUUCUGUUUGGCUUUGUACACCCAUUUCACCCCAAUCACCUUCCUUUUGACUGGCCUUUCAACCAAUUCCCAGGUCUGGUUCUUCUCAAUCAUGUUGAUCUCCUCAGCCAUUGCCUGCUUCCACCCUUGCUGAGCCUCAGCCUCUUCAAAGUUGCUUGGUUCAGCUAUGGCUACAUGAGCCCUUUCAUAAAUCUCAGUCAAUGGCCUUGUUCCUCUGACUGGUUCAUCAUCAAUGUCCAUUUCUGGAACAUUUUGGUCUGGCUCAGCUUGGUCUGUUGCUAGUUCUUCAGAAACUUCUUCAGGUUCAUGUCUUUCCCAGUUCCAACAUGACCUUUCAUCAAAUACCACAUCCCUACUAACUGACACUUUGUUUGUUGAAGGAUCCAAGAUCCUAUAGCCCUUCUUAACAGUGCUGUAGCCCACCAGUACAGCAGGUUGAGCCCUUUCAGACAAUUUGUCCCUUUUAACAGCAGGUACAUGUGCAUAACAAAUGCAUCCAAAGACUUUCAGAUGAGCCAGUGAUGGCUUGAAGCCAAAUCAGGCCUCGAAUGGGGUCUUCUGAUCCAAGGCCUUUGUUGGUAGUCUAUUUUGAAUGUAUGUUGCAGUGUUAACUGCUUCUGCCCAUAGUAUUCUAGGCAAAUUCUUCUGAAUCAUUAAGCAUCUGGCCAUAUCCAUCAAACUCCUGUUCUUCCUUUCACUUACACUAUUCUGCUGAGGUGUAUAUGUGUUGGUAAGUUGAUGUUUGAUGCCUGCCUUAUCACAGAAGGCUUGGAACUGAGCUGAGGUGUACUCAGUCCCAUUAUCAGACCUUAUGGUCUUCAGCUUGCAGCCUAUUUCAGUCUCAGAAGCAGUCUUGAACUUCCAAAACACUGAGGCCACCUCUGAUUUUUGUUUUAAGAAGUAAAUCCAACAAUAUCUUGAAAAAUCAUCAAUGACCAGUAUAAAAUACCUAUUUCCACUUAAUGACUCAGUCUUCAUAGGGCCACACACAUCAGUAUGCACCAGUUGGAGUUUUUCAGAGGCUCUCCAGGCUUGAUUCGAGGGAAAUGGGAGUCUGGCCUGCUUUCCUAGCUGACAUACUCCACAUACAUCAUCAUGGUCCACUGAGUUGAUGAAGUUUUUAGCCAGGUCUUCUCUGACCAUUCGGGCCAUCGAUCUGAAGUUGGCAUGUCCCAGCCUUUGAUGCCACAACUUGGAUUCAUCUGAUGUGGCUGUGUAGGCAAUGUCUGACUUCUUUGUCCAGUCAACCACAAAGCUCUUAUCAGCCAUAGGGACUGCCAUCAGUUUGGAUCCACUUGGAUCACUGAUUUGGCACUGGUUGUCUUUGAACACAACAGAAUACCCUUUCUCCAGCAAUUGAGCUAUGCUAAGCAGGUUUCUGUCAAUUUCAGGCACCAAGAGCACAUUUGAAAUCACUUUGGCACCUGUAGAAGUGCAUAUCAGCACAUCACUCUUGCCUUCAGCUUGAAUGAAAUGACCAUUUCCUAUUUUGACCUUAGUUCUGCAGCUUCUGUCUAAAGACUUGAAGAUUGCAGCAUCAGGUGUCAUGUGGUUGGUGCAUCCACUGUCUAGGAGCCAACCAGAUGAGAACCUUUCCUGAGCAGCUGAGCAUGACAUAGUAAAAACUUGCUCCUCUUAGUCACUGUCCUCCUUAGCUACUCGAGCCUCAGCUUUCAUCUGUUGAAACUGAUUGUGCCUUGAUUUGGCCUUGCUCUUGCAAACUCUCUCAACAUGACCCUUCUUCUUACAAUGCUGACAUACAGUUUCUGGAUUAAACUAGCACUUUUCUUCUAGAUGACCAACCCUUCUGCAGUGCUUGCAAGUCUGACCUUCUCUCCUUGCAGCAUCAUUCUUUGGCUUGUCUCUCCAGGCCUUCUUGCCUUUAUAGGCAGUGUUUAUUCUUUCCUGAAAGGCACCUUCUUGAUGCUCCUCCAGCCUGCUUGCUCUCCUCUACUCUUGAGCAUAUAGAGCAUUGAUCAACUCUGUCAGGGAGAUGGUGGACAGAUCCCUUGAGUCCUCGAGAGAUGAGAUUUUUGCCUCAUACCUCUCAGGCAGAGUUGCUAUAACCUUCUCCACUAUCCUAGCUUCAUUGAACUGCUCUCUAAGGAGCCUGAUGCUGUUAACCACAGCCAUAAUCCUGUCAGAAUAUUGCUUGACAGUUUCUUCUUCCUUCAUCUUCAAAUUCUCGAAAUCUCUCCUCAAGUUCAACAACUGUUGCUGCCUUGUCAUCUCUGUCCCUUGAAACUCUUCCUGCAACUUGUCCCAGGUCUGUUUUGGUGAUUCACAGGCCAUAAUCCUUGUGAAAAUCACAUCAGACACUGAGUUCUAGAUGCGAGACAUGGCUUUGUGCCUCUUGGUCCUCUCAUCAGCAUGCUGCCUGAUCUGAGCCACUGUUGGAUUGCCUCUAAGUGGUUCUGGUUCAACAUCUGAGUUGACCACCUCCCACAGAUCGUAUGCCUGCAGGUAGGUCUUCAUUUUGACCACCCAUAUGUGAUAGCCUUCUCCAUUGAAUACUUGAGGUGCAGCUGGUGAAAAGCUUGAUGAAGCCAUGUAUUUGUAUAACAGAUCCCUUAAGAAAUAGGCUCUAGAUACCAAUUGUUGGUGCUGUAACUGAAACUAACAGACUCAGCACAGACUUGUCGAGCAAGUCUCGAGACUUGCUGAGCAAACAAGAGAAUUCGAGCAAAAGAAAGGAAGAAAAGCUAAGAAAAAAUGAAUAGGAAAAUUGAUGAACAAAAAAGAACUAUAUUCAUAAAAUUGAAUAAUGGCAUAAUGCCAAUACAUAAACCAAGCACUAAGCUUGUCAAAAACAGCAAGUAAUUACCUAAACAUCACCUACUCCCACUAAUUACAUGGAAACUUGAAAUUUUAGCUUGUAAACCUAUACAAAGUUGUGUUUACAGCUCAUACAUAAGCUAAUUACAUCAGUCAACAACCUAACUUAGUUAGAAAUGAACUAAGAUUACAUUUCAUUGACUAGAAAUUACAAAAUAAACAAAAUAAGCUUCCAUCAGCAGCUCCUGCAUGUCUUGGUCUUCAUGGCCUGCAUGCUGUCGAGUUUGCUGCAUGCUGAACCAACUUCAUCAGACCCUUUUUCUUUUCAUGUUAUUAGGGAAGAAUUUUGUUUAUUGGAAGGGUGCUCGAGCAGAAUUGGUGAUUUCAGAGCCUGAAUUAGUCAAAGAGGUUCUGAAAAAUAGUGAACAAAUUUUUCAGAAAAAGAAACUUUCAGAUAUUGGUAGGAAGUUCUUGGGGGAAUGGUCUUAUUUUCAUUGAGGGGGAAAAAUGGGCAAAGCAUCGAAAGCUGGCCAAUCACACUUUCCAUGGGGAAAGCCUAAAGGUAAGUCUUCUAAAUAUAUAAACUAGGUGUAAUUAAUUUACAAGAAUUAUACAUAGACUACAAUAUUUUGGUAAAAUUGUGUAUUGUUAGCUAAGGAUAAGUUUAUUAUGGGCGUUGAAAAAGUGUAGUAAAAACAUACUUUUGAAAAAUUUAACACCAUUUACUACUUAGGAGGUCAAUUUUAAACUUGAUGUUCUAAAAUAAAAGAUUGAAUCAGAAAUUUUAAAAAAAAAGUAAUUUCAUUAAAAAGCACUCUUUUAGCUUUUUGACUUGGAUUAAAAUCUAGUUUGAAAAGGUGUUUAUUUGUCAAAUUGUUUAAUUUGAAAUCAUGAUUUUGUGUUGAAAAGUGUUUUUCUGACUCCAAUUAUAUAUGUCACUACUACUUACAUAUAGGAGGAUUGUUUGGGCAGAACAUGACUCCAGCAAUAAUUGCUAGUGUUGAAACAAUGCUAGAAAAGUGGAAAGGCCAAUAAGGCAAAGAGAUUGAACUGUACCAAGAAUUUAGGUUAUUAACUUCAGAAGUGAUUUCCAGAACAACAUUUGGUAGCAAUUACAUGGAAGGGGAGAAGAUUUUUGCCAUGUUAGACAAGUCGACAAUAAUUGUGAGUCAAAAUCUUUCUAAGACUAGAAUUCCUUUGAUCAGGUAUCUUCCCUCUAAGCUUAAUUAAUCCCAACUUUUACCUUGAUUUCAACUAGCUUUUGAAUGCAACUUUUAGACUUUCAUUCCCCCUGGAUUUGGUUUUCUCCUUAUAUAUAGCUGACCCUGGUUUGCUUUUGCAGCAAGUUGUGGAAAUCUGCUGAUUUGCUAGAGUCUGAAAAACUUUCAAAAGAAAUAAAAGAUCGUCUGAUGAAGAUUGUUAAGAAAAGAGAAGACAAAGUUGUGAAUGGAGAAGUCAAUAGCUUCCGCAGUGAUUUUUUUGGAUUACUUCUAAAUACCUAUCAUGAUUCGGAUGAGAAAAACAGGAUUUCAUUGGAAGACUUGGUAGCUGAAUGCAAAACAUUCUAUUUUGCUGGACAAGAAACUGUUAAUUCCUUACUUGCAUGGAGAUUGGCAAGAAAAAGCGAGAAGAGAGGUGGUUGACAUAUUUGGUAACCAAAAUCCACAUCUCGAAGGCAUCGCCAAACUCAAAAUAGUAAGAAAACUAUCUAACUGGGAAUUCAAAUAGCCAUCGACAUGAUGUAAUCUGACAUAUUUUUCUAUUUUCCAAACAGAUGACCAUGAUCAUCAAUGAAACUCUAAGAUUGUAUGGUCCAACAGGUGUCCUCCAAAGAACAGUUACAAGAGAAAUUCAGUUGGGAAAGCUACUCUUGCCUGCUAAUAUAGAUAUUCUGCCUUUAAAUAUUGGACUUCACCGUGACCCUCACUUUUGGGGAAAUGAUGUGCACCAUUUUAAACCUGAGAGAUUCGCUGAAGGGAUUGCCAAAGCUACCAAUUACACCGCGGCUGCCUUUUUCCCCUUCGGAUUAGGACCUCGAUCUUGUGUUGGUAUGACAUUUGCAAUGAUAGAAACCAAGAUUGCUCUCUCCAUGAUUCUACAACGCUACACCAUUACCCUUUCCCCUGCCUAUGUCCACUCUCCAAUACUUAUUCUCACCCUUCGACCCCAAAAUGGAAUUCAGGUAAUACUUGAGCCGAUACAUAGUAAUGCUUGAAGUACAUAGCCGUUAAGAACUAGAGGUUUAACAUGGUUCGUGUAUUGAACUUUUAAGAGAUGGUAUUUAAUAUGUUUAAAGGUUCUAGCAUUUAUCACAAAGACAAAUGACUCGUGGCCAUGUUUAAUUUUCAUCUAUCGUGCAAUGUUGAUGAGAAGAUAUCAUUUACUCAUUAGUUGGGUUAUGAAUUUCACUAUUUUGAAUAAUGUUACAUACUAUAGAAGUUGUAUAUCCAAUGCACCAACUUUCGGUAGUUCUUUAUCUUUUUGAACUUAGCCUUUCACUUGCAUCAAAGUAUACAAGUCAUGCAUGUAUAGUCCAUCAUCCACUCAAGAUUAAGGUAUAUCACGCUAUGAGCAUCAAAAGUAAAUAGAUCCAUAAAUGGAUUUAGAAUCUAUUCUACUUGGGUCUUAUCUGAUGUACUGUUAGUCCAGUCAAUCACAUCUAUGUCUCUCUCUUUUAGGAGUCAUCUGUUCCAUUCGAGACAAAACAUUUCCACAAUUGGGCUUGAUAGACGACAUAUUAGUUUUUCAAUCGAUUUGCUCAUUUUCGAUUAGACUAAGGACAUAUUUAGGUUUAUUUACUAAUACAAGCUAUCUUUCCAUAUCUAAUUCAAAUAUAGAUGAAUGAGAUUGGUUUAAUAUAUGUUGUAGGGAACAACGAAAAUGGGGAAAAAUUAAAUAUUACCCUAAAAUAAAUUGAUAAUUAAUAUAGUUAAAUUAAAUCCAUUUUGUUUAGGCAAAUGAAAACCAUUGGUUUAAAAGGUUUGAGAAUUGAGGAACCUUUGCAAAACAUAAUGCGAUAUCAUCACUAAAACACUGUUUAUAGGAGCUGAGAAUAAAUACUCUCUUUUCAUGUCUUUGUUGCUGGGUUUUUUAGGUCUUUUUGUAAUUAUCAUUCCUCUCAUUUCAAUAUUUAUGAUAAUAAUACCUGUAAAACAUGUUCGUCAUGUCUUGUUUUUACUAUUUAUGUAAACAUGAUUCCGGUAUAAACUAUACUAAAAUUUGUACUAUUGUAGUACUUAUUAUUAAAGUUAAGAAAUUAUUUAAGGUCGUGCGAUUUGUAAAAUUAAAGUUCUAGUCCCGUAAUAAUUGGUAUUGAACUAAGAUUUGAAGCUACCAGUUGAGAUGAGGAAAGGAGUAGAAGAGCAGAUUGAACCCAGAGAGACCCAUGGGAGGGGCAGGAGCUAUUUAUAUAUUUUUGAGAUGUUGAUAUCUUCAGGAGCCUUUUAUGACCACACACGAUAAUGGGAAAGAUAGGGUCCUACCUGACUUUUGGUUUAUCUGUUUUGAAGGGGAAAAUGGUUCUGGUUUAGAGAAGAAAAAUGAAUGCGUUGAUGGAGCUUCUAAUUCUUGCUCCAUGUUGUUUCUUCUUCAUAGCUUUAAUAAAGUUACUUUAUGAUUACCUAUGGAUACCUCUCUGUAUUCAGCAUAUGCUGAAUUUAGAGGUGAUCAUGAGUUGGGCGCCCUGGCCCAGCCUGACGGCCCGCCUGAAAAAUGAGAGGGUUUGGGUAAAAAAAAGAGACCCGUUUAAAAAAUAGGCCAAGCCUCAGGUAAAAUUUUUUUGGCCCCGGCCCAGCCCGAAAUAUAUAUUAAAUAUAUUUUUUUAAUCAUAUAUAUAUAUUAAAUAUAUACUUUUUUGGUGUUGUAAAAUUUAAUAUGGGCCAGGCCGGGCAGGGCUUAGCAAUUUUUUUCAGGUCGAGCUUGGACAAAUUUUUAGGCCCAUAUCUUGGGCCGGAUCAAGCCCGGGCUUAGAAAACGGGCCUAAAAUUUUAUCUUGGGCCGGUCCUGCCUGGCCAAUGAUCAUCUCUAGCUAAAUUCACAGGGUAUCAAAGGACCUCCUUACAGAUUCAUCCAUGGCAACAACAAGGAAGUUAUACUUUAAUUAUUAUUAUUUAUUUAAUUAUUAUUGGUCUAGUAGUCGAACCGAUUGAAUAAGAAAUCAAUAGUUUUAUCUUUUAACUGAUACUGUGAGAUUGUAGCACAUCAUCACCUAAAAAUUUAUAUAAUUUUUUUAAUUUUCAAGUGAUACAUAUGAUCAUGUCACAUCAUCAAACUUUUAAAAUUUUCAUGUUCAAAGAUUAAAAUAGACCUAAUUGUUAAAUUCAAAUGACAAAGUGGGCCAAAAAAAUCCUAAUAGCCAAUAAUAGAAAAAAUAUAUUAUUUAAAAAAAUAAAAAUAUUAAAGAAGACCCACGUGGUGAUAUUUCUCUUUUUCCAUAGUUCCCGACAAUAUUGUUGCCGUCUAUAUGUCGUAAAUAUGCUGCAACCAGCAAAAUUUGUUUUCUAAUAUUUGGCAACUUUUACUUGCAAGACAACGAAGAAAAACACUUAAAUAAUUAGUUCAGUCCUCCUCAAUAAUGGGAGAAUGUUUUUCAAGGCAAAAAUAGCUUCAAAAUCUACUCUUACUAAAAAAAAAAAAUUAUUAUCUUUUGUCCAUUUAAUUCAUCCACUAUUUAUAAUUAAAUAAUUAAAUUUCAAUUGAUAAUACCAAUUCCUUCAAUUCAAUCAUGUGUUGUUUUUUUUUAAAAAAAAAAACCUUACACGAAAUUCAUAUAAGAUAUAUAUGUAUAUAUCGAUUUUCAUUCUAUCUUUUUAAAAUAGAUUUGAAGAAUCUUACAAUUCGAGAAUUAAUAUUUUCAUUUGCUUAUUUGACUUUCCACGUGUAUGUAUUAGCUAGAUGAGUAUGAUUUUUUAUUUCGUAAGUGCCAAAUAAAUAUUACUUUAACAAAGGUUUUUUUUUUAUUACAAUGUUAUGAAUUGAAUUUCAAAAGUGCAAAUGAUACAGGGAGUGAAAGCAUAGUUAGACCUAAAAGAAACUAAGAAGUCAGUUGUUAUUGAGAAACGUCCUAAAUCCACUAUAUAAAAACAAAAGGACCAUCUGGAUUCAGUGUUAAGAGAAGAAACAUGAGUGAUUUGAUGGAGCUUGUGAUACAGCAUAUGCUGAAUUCAUAGGGAAUCAAAGGACCUCUUUACACAUUCAUCCACGGCAACAACAAGCAAAUUACCUAAAUGAAAAAGAAAGCAUUAAACAAUCCUGGCGUUGCAGUGGAACAGAUUAAAGCUACAAAUUAUGGUAGUGGAGCAGAUUAGAGCUACCAGCCUUAUCUCCCUGAAGUUGUAGCGGAGCAGACUGAAGAUAGAGAAUCUUAUUUCCCUAGCGUUGCAGUGGAACAGAUUAAAACUACAAGUUAUGGCGGAUCUUAUCUUCCUAAAUUUGCAAUGGAGCAGAUUAAAGCCACCAGCCUUAUCUCAUUGAAGUUCCAGCGGAGUAGAUCAAAGCUACAAGUCUCUUCUCCCUAAAAUUACAUUGGAGCAUAUCAAAACACCAAUUCCUAUACCCCUGAAGAUGCGAUGAAAUGGAAUGAGACUACUUGAAAGAAAGAAGCACCAUAAAGUCAAGAUUCGGCAAGACCAGGCAAAAUUAGCCUCUUUAAAGUCUUUCUACCAUUCUCAUUACACGAGAAUGAGCAAAGAGGGACAGUUGUAAUAGGCCAAUUUUGGCCCAGGCUCAAAACCAAAUAAAUAAAACCAAAACCUGAGAGAUUCGCUGAAGGGAUUGCCAAAGCUACCAAUUACACCGCGGCUGCCUUUUUCCCCUUCGGAUUAGGACCUCGAUCUUGUGUUGGUAUGACAUUUGCAAUGAUAGAAACCAAGAUUGCUCUCUCCAUGAUUCUACAACGCUACACCAUUACCCUUUCCCCUGCCUAUGUCCACUCUCCAAUACUUAUUCUCACCCUUCGACCCCAAAAUGGAAUUCAAGUAAUACUUGAGGCGAUACAUAGUAAUGCUUGAAGUACAUAGCCGUUAAGAACUAGAGGUUUAACAUGGUUCGUGUAUUUUACUUUUAAGAGAUGAUAUUUAAUAUGUUUAAAGGUUCUAGCAUUUCACAAAGACAAACGACUCAUGGCCAUGUUUACUUUUUAUCUAUCAUGCAAUGUCGAUAAGAAGAUACCAUUUACCCAUUAGUUUGGCUAUGAAUUUCACUAUUUUGAAUGAUGUUACAUACUAUAGAAGUUGUAUAUCCAGUGCACCAACUUUCGGUUCUUUAUCUAUUUGAACUUAGCCUUUUACUUGCAUCAAAGUAUACGAGUCAUGCAUGCAUAGUCUAUCAUCCUCUCAAAAUUAAGGUAUAUCACACUAUGAACGUCACAAGUAAAUAGAUCCAUAAAUGGAUUUAGAAUCUAUUCUACUUGGGUCUUAUCUGAUGUACUGUCAAUCCAGUCAGUCACAUCUAUAUUUUUAUCUUUUAGGAGUCAUCUGUUCCAUUCGAGACAAAGCAUCUCCACAAUUGGGCUUGAUAGACAACAUAUUAUUUUUUAAUUGAUUUGCUCAUUUUCAAUUAGACUAAGGACAUAUUUAGGUUUAUCUUCUAAUACAAGCUAUCUUUUCAUAUCACGAUCUGACCACGUAAUACCGCUUAGUAUUAAUUUAAACAUUAGAUAACUAACGAGCCAUUAUUUGCUUCCAUUUUGCUUUGCAUGCAAAAAUAUUGAGGACAAUAUCGAAAGGGUAUUAAUGUAAUUAAUAGAUAUUAUUAAACCAAUUUGUUUGAAAAAUACAAUUAUAUAAAACGAAUAUAGUACACUUAGUGUACCAAAUCCAACAGUGGCCACUACAGCUAGCAUUGCCAUAAGCAACAUAACUUGACAUUUUUGGAGUUGAAAUCAUUUUAACAAAAUCAUUUGGGCAACGACUUAGAUGGUUUUGUGGACAUGUGCUGUCUCAUAUUUGAAGAUCCAUUUUAUGGAGCAAUCAAUCUUUGAAGACUAAAUCAAUUUGAAUCAAGCAAGUCAGAUCACUUAUUUUAUGGAGAUUGGCUUGACUUUUUGAAAAUUUGUUUUCGAAAUAUUUGAUUUAUUCUUGACUUUGAGGAUAUUUGUAAAGUUUUUUUUUACGAGGCUAUUUUUUGUGGGAUAUUGAUUCUAAUUGAUCUUUUAUCUUUGCAAACAUUAAAUUCUUAUAUAUUAGAGGCUUGUGUAAGUUAAAAUAAGGUAGAGUUUCUAUAGCACUUAUUUUUUCAUUGAGGAACUUGUAUUUGAUAGUGCAUUAAGAGUGUAAAAUAAGUUUGUUGCUUAGUUUUUCAACCAAAAUUCUCAAGGAAAGAACUUAGUGGUGAGUUGUGAUAGGACUUAAAUAACUUGUUGUCUUAGGAUUAAAAAUAAUGGAUUUACUCACUAAGUUGGGUUCCAUAGACAUAGAAAAAUCGAUAUGCGUAAAUAAUCAUUUGUGCUCUAUUUUUUUGUUGUUGUGUUCAUCAUAGUGGCAUCUAAGGUUGCCAUUACAACCAUCACUUUGGUCAUCAAUUACGCACUUUAUUUUUUUUCAGCAAUUAUCAACUUUAUGCGCCAAGAGAAUGCUUGUUUCUAGUACCAUUGAUCAAUUUUGUAGGAAACAUAAUGACCAAAAAGAAAAUGAUUACAGUCAACCCCUUCUGUAACAACUCUAUUUAUUUGUUAAGAUUUUGCAAGUUAUAAAAAGGUGGUUGUUAUAUACUAUUACAACAUGUUAUAAAAAGAUAAUUAUUGUAAACCUAAAAUAGAAUUUAUAUCGUGAAUUACUAUCAAAUAAAGAAAGUGAGAAUUAUAUUAAAAAAAGGAAAGUAGAAAUCAAAUCAACAAAAUUAAAAGAUGUAUAAUAGGUGCAUGCAUUAUUACCUUUAUAUUUUAUUUUACAUUUUUCACAUGAUUAAUUAUGAAAUUCAUCAAUCUAACAAAUAGUUAAUCGAUAUGAGUUUAAAUUAAAUUAAUUAAUUUAUCAUGUGUUAUUAAAUUCAAAAUGGUACCUAAACAAUUAAUCUGUUAUCUAUUUAAUACAGCCAAUCAUUUGCCACGUAAAAUAUCUAUUUAUUUUCUUUUAAAAUAUUACUAAAAUUCGAUAAAUAAAAUUAAAAAUAGUUAAAAAAUAAAACAUCAUAAAUUUAAUAAAAUUUAAACGUUAAGGAAAAACAUUUUACUGAUUGAAAAUACCCUUAAUCAGAUUUUACUAACAAUCCCUAUUUUUUUCAAACAAAUCACAAACUCUUUUUGUUCAAAAAAUUUCAAAUCAUCUUUUUACAACCUUUAAUCCUUUGUGGAAUUGAUAGAAGGGUACGUUUGAAGAAUUAAUUUUUUUUCUUGAAACCCUUGUUUGUCAAUUUCAUUGUUGAAACCUUUCUAAUUUCAUCAUUAUUUGAUUUUUAUUUUAGGUUAAUCGUAAAACUUCAAUUGAUUCGGGCAAAUCGAAGGAGUUGUAAAAAGGUUGAAAGGUAUGAUUUAGGCUUAAGUUAACACCAUUUGUAAAGGGUUCUUUUAUAGUUAAUAUGUAGAAUCUAAUGUAUGUGACUUUUGGCAGGUUGUGGGUUCUUGAAAUUUUAUAUUGAGAAAGUAGAACACACCUUUUAAGAGGGAAGUUCUUUGUGACUCGAGAUUAUUAGUCUGGUGACAAAAAGCCAAAAAAUGUACCAUUUGCUUUGAAGUUAUUUAUGAUUGUUAAUGAUAAACUUAGGAUUUUUAAUGGUGUUUAUAUAUGUAUUUUGUUAAGAUACAUAAUGAUAAAACUAGAGUUUGUGAUAUGUUUUGAGAUGAUAGGCUUCACGAAUAUGUGAUUUAUUGUCCUUAGCUAAUUCAAAUAUAGAUUAAUGGUGCCACUGCCACAGGCAGCACAACUCCCCUUAUAAUGGGGGGACCAUUCGGCUGGUGGGUGGAAAAGAAAAGGAGAGGGAAAGAAAUGGAAAGGAGAAGAAAGAAAGAAAAGGAAAGGAGAACACUACACCAGAACAGGCUUUUAGCGGCAUAUUUUGUGGCGUUUUGAUAACAAACGCCGCUAAAAAUCAAGCAUUAGCGGCGCAAAGAAUAAAACGCCACUAAAGAUCUAGCAUUAGUGGCGCUUCUUAUAAAACGCUGCUAAAGAACAUAAUUCGCGGCGUUUACCACACAGCGCCGCAAAAUCUCAAGACCAACACGCAGCGUUCUGGUCUUGAUGUAUAUUAGCAUUAGUGGUGCUUACGAACAAACGCCGGUAAUGUAUAGUAUUAGCGGCGCUUAGCGGAAGCGCCGCAAAAGAUGUUAACCAAAACGCAGAGUUUGGUCUUGAUGUAUAUUGCAAUUAGUGGCGCUAAUGUAUAGUAUUAGCGGCACCGAGCGUUAAACGCCGCAAGACAUCUUAAUCAAAACGCAGCGUUUUGGUAUUGAUGUAUACUAUAAUUAGUGGCUUUUAAGGAAAACGCCAGUAAAGGAUAGUUAUAGCAGUGUUUGGUGGUAAGAUCCUCAAAAUAUCUUAACCAAAACGCAGAGUUUGGUCUUGAGGUGUAUUAGAAUUAGUGGCGCUUGCUGAAAAACGCCGCUAAAGUAUAGUAUUAGUGGCGCUUGUGGAACGCGCCGCAAAGUGUCUUAACCAAAACACAGCGUUUAGUUCUUGAUGUAUACUGGAAUUAGUGGCGCACAUGGGAAAACGCCAUUGAAGCAUAGUAUUAGCGGCGCUUGUACCGAAACGCCACAAAAAACCUAAGCCAGACGGCAUCGUUUCGAAACUUUUUAGUGCUUUAGCGGCGUUUUUCCUUAAAGCGCCACAAAUCAUUUUAUAUGUUUUUUAUAUUUAAUUUGUUUAUUUAUAUUAAUUAAAAUUUAAUUUAUUUUUAAUUGAAUAUUUGUUAAAAAUGGAAAACUUGAAAUAGUAUUAUUUAAAAUAAUUUUAAAAAAUGUUAGGUACAUGACUGAUUGAUUUGUAAUUUAUAUAUUAAAUAAUUUCAUAUAUAAUUAUAAAAGAUAGUUUUUAAAAUAUUUAAUUAUUUAUCAUUAUAGUUUAGGGUUUAAUAUAUAUGCAGUUUAGGGUAUACGGUUAAUUUAAGAUUUAAGGUCGGUUUAAGAGCUACAAUUUUAACGUUUAUAUAGAUUAUGGAAUUAUGGAUUCUGGUUAAUUUAAGGGUUGUAAUUUAGGGGUUAUAGAUUAAGAGUUAGGGAUUUAAGGUUUAUGGAUUCGGUGUCAGGUUAGGCUUUAGGGUUUAGAUUAAUUAGUGUGUUUUAAUUUUUAUAAAAUAUGGUUUAAGGGUUAGGGGGUAGGGGGUAGGGAUUUGGGUUAGGAUUUAGGGUUUUGAUUAAUUAAUAUUUUUUAAUUUAUGUAUUAAAUAAGGUUUAGGGUUAGUACAAGUUAGGGUCGGGGUUAGUGGUUUAAGGGUUAGAAGAUAAGAGUUAGUGAUUUAGGGUUUAAAAAUUCGGGGUCAGGUUAGGCCUAUUGGGAACUUUAGUGGCGCUGCAAAAUUUUUAUUUUAUUUAAGGGUUUACGUUAUAGAAUAUAUGAUUUAAUGUCCAUGGUUUAGAGUUUUAGGGAUUACAGUUUAAUGUUUAUUAUUUUGGGUUAAUAGUUUAUGUGUUAGAGUUUGUGUUUAGGGUUUAAGGAUGCUGUUUAAAAAUUGAAGAACAUUUAGAUUUUACUAAAGAUUCAUGCAAUUUAAUAUAUGAAUAUAAAAUAUAUGUUUUGUACAGUAACAUUGGCCACGCAAUUACCCUAAAAUAUGGUUUAGGAAUAUUACGGUUUGGGACUUUUGGUUUUGACUUUUACUGUUUGGGGCUUUAGGGUUUGGGGUUUGAGGUUUGGGGUUUUUGGUUUGGGGUUUGGGGUUUGGUUUUUGAGGUUUAAGGUUUAGAAAUUAUAAUUUAAGCAGGUUUAAAACGCGAAUUUAUUUUCUUUAAAUGUAUUACUCUCUCAUUUUUUUAUUAUUAAUUUUUCCAUUUUAUAACUUUGGUUUUAAUUUUGGAUCAAUUUAACUUCAAUCUUGGAUGACACUAUUUUGACAACUCACGUGCUAGUAUAUUUGUAUUCUAUUCUUAGCGUAUAUAUAAUUUAAAAUAAAUUAUAAAUAUUUUUAAAUUUUGUAGAAAUUUUAAACUUUUUUUGCAAUGAAAGCCGUUAGAGGCAUUUAUCUCAAAACGCUGGAAAGAUUAUUUAACGUUAAGUAAAACUGCAUCGUUUCCUGUCACUGGGAAGGGGAACGGCGCCGUUUUGUUCAUCCGUAUUCGCGGCACUUUGAAAAAUGCCGCCAAGUUGGAUUAGGAGCUAAUGAAACUGCGUCGUUUUACGUUGCUAUUAGUGGCGCUUUCCAUGAAACGCCGCAAAAUUGUAUUUAUGUUUAUUGAAAUGUUGUCGUUUUUGUCUAUUGUAUUAGUGGCAUUUUUCGGAAACGCCACAACAUUGGGUAAACUGUUGGGGAAACGGCUUCGUUUUGACUUAUAGUUAGUGGCGCUUUACUUGAAACGCCGCAAAAUUGUUCUAACAUUUGUUGAAACGUUGCCGUUUUGUAAAUGUAAUUAGUGGCGUUUUUGAGAAAACGCCAGGGGUUUGAGGUAAGUGUUGAUGAAGCGACCGCGUUUUGAGUUAUUGUUAGUGGCGCUUAGUUUAAAACGCCGCAAAGUUUUGACCUAUAUUUUAUGGCGCUUUGCUUAAAACGCCGCAAAAAUGUUUUUCAAUGUUUGAUUCGAUGCCGUUUAUCUAUAUUAUUAGUGGCGUUUAUAGGGAAACGCCACAUUUUUCAGCUGUUUGUUGAUGAAACGACCGCUUUUCAAUUAAAUUUAGUGGCACUUUGAUGUAAACGUCGCAAAUGGAUAUUUUUUUAGAUGAGAACGGCGUCGUAUUUUUUCCAUCAGUCUGACCAAAUAUUACACCCGAUAUUUCUCCAUCACUUAUCCCCCAAAUACUCAUUCUCCCCCAAAUCCCUAAAAUUUCCCCUAAUCCCUAACAGCCCCCCAAACCCGACCACCUGCUACUCUGCCAUCUUCUGUGCUGCAUCACUCCGUCCGUCCGUUUCUGGCGCCGCAACCAUCGGUAAGUUUGAGUACUUCGUUCUUCGUUCUUUUUCUUCAUGCGUUAAUGUCUCUCUGUUGCUUCUUCAUUGCUGUUGUUUUGACUCCUUCCUCAUAGCAACCCACGCUUUCAAUCUUUCAACUUUCCCAGAAACUCCAAGACUGAAACCGAGGAGAAGACGCUGCACUUAGUAAUUUCGGAUUCCAUCUUCAGUUUUGGGCAAUACCCUUUCCAAGGUAUAACGCUGUCGGUAUUAAUUUCAUCAUUUAAAAUUAGUGGCUUUGGGUCCUUAGUUCUGAUAUGGUUACUUUUAUUGGACUCGUUGAUGCUCAAAAAUCGGUCCUUUAUGCGUAAAUGGGUCGAUGCUUUUGAUUAGUUUGAUAGUGGGUUUAGGGUACCACGUGUUUCUUUUAUGUGAAAUGCCUUUAGUUUGCUAUAUAUAUAUGGCGUGGAAAAGUUAUUGGCAUCUGUUAUAUCUAAUGAAUUUCUUUUAAAAACUUUUCAAUGGGAAUCUUUUUUGUUAAAGAAAAACCAUUCUUCUGUUUGAUUAUAAUGAAUAUAUAUAGGCUUCCUUUUAUCAUUUCUGAUUUGGUUUGAUUUUGUUGUAACUUGUUAUAACCAAACUGAAAUCCGAAUUCAAUUGCUAUAAGUGCCUAACUGUUAUUUUGUAGUAAUGGAUUUAGAGUUAAAGUGUUUUAUUUUUUUCCUGUUUAUUUGGGUGUAAUUUUCAUAUGUUUUCCUUUUUUUUUGUAGUAUUUACUCCUAUUUUAAAUUUAUUUUGCAUGCAUUCCAAUUUUAGAUGAAGUGGUUGUAUGUUUGAAAUCGAAGUCAAUAUUUACUUUCAUAUUUCUUUCAUGCCAUUCCCAUCAAUCAUUUCAGCACUAGGCAUGAAUUCAAAAUUGUUCAGGUAUCCUGCAAAUGGCAUUGUUGAUAAGGAUGCAAAAUUUGUUUUCUGAUGUUAAUAUAGCCUUGAUUUUUCUCAUGUAUAGUUGUCAGUUGUUAUGGGUAAAUUUUAUAUAAUUUUAUUUAAUUUUAUAAUUAUUCGAAUAUAUAUUCAUAAUUAUACUGUAUUUAUAAUUAUCGAUUUUCAAUUUAUCAAUUUACAAUUUUAUUUCAAUUAAUAAAUGUUUAAUAAUCAAUUAAUAAAUUGAUCGAUUAAUUGAUUGAAUGUCAAUGAAUUAUCAAUUUUGGUUAGUUAAUUGAUUGAAUGUUUAAUAAAUUCAUUAUAUAAUGAAUUCUCAAAAAAUUAUUACUUGAUUGCAUGUUUAAUAUAAAUAACUUAUUAUGAUAUAUAUUUUAAAGUUAAUAUAUAAUUUCAAUAUUUAUUAUAUUUUUAAAUAUAUUUUUACAAUUUAAUUUAACUUAUUGAUAAUAUAUAUAUUGUUAAGUAAUAUUUUUUUAAAAUUGAUAUCUUACAUUACUUAAAUAUAUAUUUUUAAGUAUAUUCUACAUGACUUACAUAUUACUUACUAAAACAUAUUUUUUACUAAAAUUUACUUUAAUAUAUUACUUGAAUAUAUUACUUAAAUAAUUUACUUAAAUACAUUACUUACUAAAAUUUUUUUAAAUUUUAAAUACAUUACUUGUUUAAUAUAUUACUUACUAAAAUUUAAGUAUAUAUUACAUUCCUUACAUAACUUGUUAAAAUAUAUUAUAAUUUCAAUAUUUAUUAUAUUUUUAAAUAUAUUUUUACAAUUUAAUUUAACUUAUUAAUAAUAUAUAUAUAUUCUUAAGUAAUAAUUUUUUAAAAUUUAUAUCUUACAUUACUUAAAUGUAUAUUUUUAAGUAUAUUUUACAUGACUUACAUUACUUACUAAAACAUAUUUUUUACUAAAAUUUACUUGAAUAUAUUACUUAAAUAAUUUACUUAAAUACAUUACUUACUAAAAUUUGUUUAAAUUUUAAAUACAUUACUUAAAUAUAUAUUACUUACUAAAAUUUAAGUAUAUAUUACAUUACUUACAUAACUUGUUAAAAUAUAUUAUAAUUUCAAUAUUUAUUAUAAAUAAGAUACAUAAAAGUGACUGACUAUUAAUAUUUACUUACAUAAUUUAAUUUUGUAUUUACAAGAACUUACAUAACUUAUUAAUAUUCAAUAAACUUAUAUAACUAUCACACAUACACUUAUUAAACUUACAUAAUACAUGACUUAUAUAAAAUUCUCAAAUAAACUUACAUAAUACAUUAGUUAUAUAAUAACUUAUAUAAACUUACAUAAUACACAUUACUUACAUAGCAUACAUAACUUACAUAAUACACAACUUAAAUAGCUUACUUAAUACAUAACUUACAUAACUUAGACACGUACAUAACUUACAUAAUUUACUUAAUACAUAAAUAUAUAUCAUAUGAUAUAUAUUUAAAAAAACUCAUUUGUAGUUACCACUGAACAACUUACCCUUGUAAUUUCUGGUGAAAAUCAAACAUCAAGAAAUAAGAAAUGGACCGGUCUUGGAUGAAUUUGUCAAGGGUAAGCGACGGUUAUCGAAAUGGAGUACAGACUUUUCUAAAUUUUGCAUUUCAAUAUGCAAGCCAGGAGAACAUGAUUCUUUGCCCAUGUAAGAAGUGUGUCAACAUAAACUGGCAUUAUCGUGAAGUUGUAUACGAGUAUCUAAUUGUUGAUGGGUUUGUUCGGGGUUAUAAACAAUGGCUUUUUCAUGGAGAAUGCCCGCCUAGUACUUCCUCUUCAAGGAUGGAUGUAUCUUAUGACAGUACUACUUACCACCAGUCUGUUAGAGGGGAUGACAUGGAAGGGAUGUUGCGGGAAGCAUUUAAUAUUCACAAUCAUGGUUUACAGUCGUUCCCAGCCGACUUUGUUGCAUCUGAUGAUUGUAAUAUUGGUGGAAAUGCUUUUACCGAACCUGGAAGAAGUGUACAUCAUGAAGAGCCGAAUGGAGAAGCGGUGAAGUUCUACGCGCUACUUAAUGACAUGAAUGAAGAACUGUUUGAGGGAUCAAAAUUCUCAAAAUUAUCUUUUUGUAUUCGUCUUUUCCAGUUAAAGUGUUUGGGAGGGUGGACCGGGAACUCUUUAACAAUGCUGUUAGAGUUUUUGAGAGAGAUGUUUCCGUUUGCAAAAAUCCCUUAAUCAUGCAAAGAUAUGAAGACUAUGAUAAAAGACUUAGGUCUUGGGUACACCAAAAUCCAUAGUUGCCUGAAUGACUGCAUGUUGUAUUGGGGCGAUCGAAGAAACCAGUAGUGCUGUCACAUAUACGGCCAAUCACGUUGGAUAAAUAGAAACACAGAAGAUAGGAACGACGAUGAAAAUGAUGCACAGCCAAGAAAGAAGCCGGUCAAGAUUUUACGGUAUUUUUCGCUCAUACCAAGGGUUCAAAGGCUUUUCAUGUCGUCGAAGAUAGCGGAGUCUAUGACGUAGCACCAUGAUGGACGAACCGAUGAUGGGAAGAUGAGGCAUCCGGCAGAUUCUUUAGCUUGGAAAUCAUUUGACAAUAAAUUUCCAAGCUUUGCAAGUGAUCCUAGGAGUGUAAGGCUUGGCUUAGCAUCUGAUGGAUUUAAUCCGUACAAGAUCAUGAGUACUGCGUACAGUACUUGGCCAGUAGUGCUUGUUCCUUACAAUCUGCCUCCGUGGAUUUGCAUGAAGCAAUCUUCCCUUAUCUUAUCUAUGAUUAUCCCUGGAGAGAAAGGGCCCGGGAAUGAUAUCGACAUUUAUCUACAGCCACUUAUUGAAGAGUUAAAACAAUUGUGGACUGGUGUCGAGACAUACGAUGUGCUGAGAAAGGAGAACUUUAAUUUACGUGCAGCUUUGAUGUAGACCAUUAAUGACUUUCCCGCUUAUGCCAAUUUAUCUGGUUGGAGUACCAAGGGUCGUUAUGCGUGUCCUUGUUGUGCUGCACAAACAUGUUCGCAAUGGUUGUACAAUGGGAAGAAGUUCUCUUACAUGGGGCACCGUUGGUGGUUACCGAAAAAUCAUAGAUUUAGAUUUCAGAGUUCUGUAUUUGACGGCACUGAAGAGUUCAGAGAAGCUCAUUCGCAGACCAGUGGCUCUGAAAUCUUGUUCAUGUUGGAAUAUAUGAAUUUCAUUUAUGGGAAGAUGAACCAACCGUCAGACACGCAAAGAAAUAGAAGAUCCAAUGAUGAAGCUGAUGAUGACUCUGAUGAAGAGGACGAUCCUAAUGAGGCGGACUUGUGGAAAAAAAGAAGUAUUUUUUUUGAGUUGCCUUAUUGGGAGCAUCACCUUCUACGACACAAUCUUGAUGUUAUGCACCUUGAGAAAAAUGUCUGCGAGAACAUUGUGGGUACAGUUUUGAAUGUCGACGGAAAAUCAAAAGACAAUCUUCAAAGUCGACUUGAUUUAGUCCAAAUGGGAAUCUGACCUGAUCUUCAUCCCAAUCCACUUCCGAAUGGGAAAUAUCGGUUGUCACCUUCUAUAUUUUCAAUGUCCAAGACGGAAAAAGAAGUGUUCUGCAAGGUGUUGAAGGAUAUAAAGGUUCCAGAUGCGUAUGCAUCGAAUAUAUCUCGAUGUGUUAGUGUUAAAGAUCGAAGAUUAUAUUCGCUAAAAUCACAUGACUAUCACAUCUUGAUGCAAGAUUUACUGCCAGUGGCUCUACGAUGUUGUAUGUCCAAGAAGGUGACGUCUUGUAUAAUUGAACUAUCCAACAUAAUGAAAGCCAUUUGUGGUAAAGUUUUGGACGUUCAAGAACUUCAGAAGGUACAGGAUCGAGCCGCUUUGACUUUAUGCAACCUGGAGAAAAUCUUCCCACCUUCCUUCUUCACUGUUAUGGUUCACUUGAUAAUCCAUCUCCCGCACGAAGCAAUUCUUGGCGGACCCGUUUUCUAUCGAUGGAUGUAUCCCAUAGAAAGGUGUUAAUUAAAAAAGUAUAAGUUUUCCUUCAUUCACCUCUAUGCCUUUACUUUCAAUAAUUAAGAAAUGUUGUAUAUUCUGUUUAGGUUUCUAUCCAAAUUAAAGUNNNNNNNNNNNNNNNNNNNNNNNNNNNNNNNNNNNNNNNNNNNNNNNNNNNNNNNNNNNNNNNNNNNNNNNNNNNNNNNNNNNNNNNNNNNNNNNNNNNNNNNNNNNNNNNNNNNNNNNNNNNNNNNNNNNNNNNNNNNNNNNNNNNNNNNNNNNNNNNNNNNNNNNNNNNNNNNNNNNNNNNNNNNNNNNNNNNNNNNNNNNNNNNNNNNNNNNNNNNNNNNNNNNNNNNNNNNNNNNNNNNNNNNNNNNNNNNNNNNNNNNNNNNNNNNNNNNNNNNNNNNNNNNNNNNNNNNNNNNNNNNNNNNNNNNNNNNNNNNNNNNNNNNNNNNNNNNNNNNNNNNNNNNNNNNNNNNNNNNNNNNNNNNNNNNNNNNNNNNNNNNNNNNNNNNNNNNNNNNNNNNNNNNNNNNNNNNNNNNNNNNNNNNNNNNNNNNNNNNNNNNNNNNNNNNNAUCUUUUUAUGAAUGGUUAAGCCAAACGGUAUGCAGUUCGAGCUUCCGCUUACAAAUAAUAAUGUUUUCUCAUAACAUUUUUAAUUACUCAGUUUACUUUCCAUUCAAUAGGUUUGGAGUGGGAAGAACGUAAACGACGAUGUUAAAUGGCUCUCCCAAGGUCCAAAUCGAGUGGUUAAAAGAUAUAGUGCGUUCCUCAUCAACGGAUUCAGAUUUCAUACAAAAUAUCACGAGAGGUUGAGGAGAACGCAAAAUUGUGGAAUAGUUGUCAAUUCUGCAAUUACAAGUUAUGCUAGUGCUAGGGACAAUAAUCUUGUCGAGGGAAAUGUGGAAUAUUUCAGACAUCUUACUGACAUAAUUGAGUUGGAUUACUACGGCAAAUGGAAAGUUGUCUUAUUUCGUGGUGAUUGGGCCGAUGUUAAUACAGCUCGUGGAAUUAAGCAAGAUCAAUUUGGUUUUACAAUGGUGAACUUUGACCUAUUGAUUCACACAGGACAACAACUGAUAAAUGAGCCGUAUGUAUUCCCAUCUCAAGUCAAACAAGGUUUUUACUCAAAAGAUCCAACUGAUGAGGGUUGGUACGUUGUACUCUAUAACAUCCCUAGAGACUUGUUUGACAUGGGCAGUGGAACUAGAGAUAACAUCGACAACAGAUCAGUAACUUUGCCCUUUCCAGAACAAAACUUAAACGAUAAUAUCCCUAGUACUAGUGCACAAUUUCAAUGGGUUCGUCAGGAUACCGAUGCAGAUAUUUACGAAUAAUGAUGUAGUAAGAUUUUACGAUUGUUUAAUUAUAUGUAAUAUCAUAAUUUAAAUCUUGGUCUUAUUAUAUAUUUCAACUAUUUUAUAUGUGCUGUUAUUGUUGUAAUUAGUUAUCCCGUUGUCAACUAUUUUAUGUGUAUUGCAGAUAAAAUGCCUAGAAGAAAAAUUCUAAGGGGAAGCAUUGUUCAAAAUAAUCCAAACUCGACAGAAACAAAUAGUACUGAACAACAGACAGCAGUUGGAUCUUCGAAUGCUCCGAUUACAGCUGAGGAUCCUACAGAAGUUCAAAGUAAGUUUACAUUUAAUUUACAUGCGUGUUGACUUAUAGUUGAUUUAUUUUUCAAAUUCUUAUGUUAUAAUAUACCAUUUGUAGCUGAAAAUGGUGGGACGCGCAGAGGUCGAGGACAUACGCUACUUAGAGAGUUAUAUGAGUUAGAUCCAGUCGAGCGUGUCAAAGUUGGACGAAACAGUUUUGGUCAACCUGUUGGAUCAGAAGCUCGACUUUUAGCAGGAUACAUGGGCAUUUUAGCACGAAAUCCGAAUAUGUUGCCUAUCAACUACGAGUCAUGGCAUCAAAUGCCCGAUAGCAACAAAAACCAAGCCCUCGAUAAUAUUAAGGUAACAAAAUAUUAAUGCCAUCUGUAAUGCUUGGGAAAUAGUUUCAUUUAUAUUUACUUUAUUAACUUGUGUUUUUUGUUUUUUGUAGGUGAGGUUUGCUUUAGAGGUCUCGGAUGAUUACGUAAAGAAGGCAUUGGGAAAAAUAUGGAGAGACAAUAAAAGUACUUUGAAGAAAAAUUAUUAUAAAACAAAAACAACCCUCGAUGAGAAAUUGCAAAAUGUCCCGCCGGGUAUGUUGAGGUACCAAUGGGAAGAUGCGGUUAGAUUUUGGCAUUCGAAGAAAGGCGAGGUAUGACGUACUUCCAAACUAUUGUAAUUAUUUUGGUUUAUAGUAUUUUCUAUUUACGUACUAAAAUUUUGAUAAUGUAGGAUCAUGAAAAAGUUGGAAAAAGCAGCAGGCAGAAACAAAAAUUCACCCACACAGCCGGGUCAAGAAGUUUUGCAUGUGUAGCUGAGGCGGAGGUAUUUUUAAUUUAUUUAAUAUUGUCGAAUAUGUAUAACAUUCUAUUAAAUAAUAUUUAUACUACCAUAUUGUAGGAACUGUCGUCCGGUCAAAAAGUUGGACGCCUUCAACUUUUUGAAAUUACACAUAGGAAGAAAGAUGGAUCUCCCAUGACUCCUGAAGCCGGUGAAAUAAUGGUACGUUUACUUAAUACGAUUUGACUUAUUUUAGUUAUUUUUAGUGUUUAUUUUCUAAUGGUUUAAUUCAUUGCUUGUAAUGCGACUAUUGUUAUGUUGCAUAUGUUUUUUAAUAUAUAAUAUUGCGUUCCUAACUAUGUGAUUUAUUUAUUAGGAAAAACUAAAGGAUAAAAAGGCGGAGUACGAAGCGAUUGCUUCUAGUGAUAGUUCUAUUCAUCUUGAAGACAUUGAUAACCGAAUUAUUACUGAAGUUUUGGGUCCUGAAAGGUAUGGUCGGGUUCGAUUUCAAGGAUCUUUUGUUAGCCCAACCCAAUAUUUUGGAUCCAGCUCCCACCAAUACAUGGCUUCGGGGAGUCAGGCUCAAGCUGAAGUUCAGAGGUUGAAAGACCAGAUGGCUGAGAUGCAAGCGACCACAGUUGAGGUUCAAAGGAAAUAUGAAGAACUCCAGCUACAACUUAAAGCAGAGGCGGCAGCGAGGGAAGCAGAGGCCGCAGCGAGGGAAGCAGAGGCUGCAGCCAGACAAGCAGAGCAGACCAAAAAGUACGACGAACUCCAGCAACAGCUUCAGACUGUGAUGAAGAUGUUUCAGUCGUAACUUCCGCCUUCAUAGUGUAUGACAUAAAUAUUUUUAUCAUUUUAACAUUUAAAAUUUUUGCAAAAAUACUAUGAAUUCACUUUUAUUUAUUGAUAUUAAUAUUAUAUAAAUUCACUGUGAUGAAUUCACUUUUAGCGGCGUUUUUUUUCUAAGCGCUGCUAAAGAACAUGGUCUUUACCGGCGUUUUUGUUUGUAAACGCUGCAAACGUUUGCGACGUUUUCGUUAGCGGCCUUUUUUGCGGCGCUUAGUGGCGUUAAAAAGCGCCGCUAAAGGCCUAAAAAAACGCCGCUAAAGACCUGUUUUGGUGUAGUGGAAGAAAGAAAAAGAAAGAAAGAAAAGGAAAGGAGAAGAAAGAAAAAAAAAAAGGAGAAGAAGAGGGAAGGAAGGAAAAAGAAAGGAAAAAAGAAGUAAAGGUAAUUUUUUUGUAUUAAUUUUUUUUUGUAAUAUUUGUGUAAAAAAUGUAUGUGUUUUAUUAUUUUAUUUAGAAUAUAUAUUUUAUGAAAUUUAUUUAGCAUGAAAAAAUCCAUGUUAUAUACAUUCUAUGUUGAUUAGAAUUUUUUUUGUGAAAUUUAUUUAGGAUGUUGUAAUUAGUUUUUUUUAGGAAAAUAGCAUUAAAAAUAAAAUUAUAAAAAAAUAUGUUUAAGAAAACAUAAAAUACGAAAAGAAAAAAAACGGAAAUUGUAUAUUCAACGAAAGUAAUAAAAUCCGAAAAAAAUUGUAUAUUUAAAAAACACACUAAAUUAAUAAAUUUCAAACAUAAUGUACUAAAAUAAUGUAAAAUAAUAAAAUUAAAAAAUAUGAUUUUUUUAAAGUAAUAAAACACGGGAGAAAAAUACGAACAAAGGGCCGAAGUAGGGGUUUUUUACUAAAUUUUAAAAAAAUAAAAAAAAAAUUAAUACAUUUCAAACAUAAUGUACUAAAAUAAUGUAAAAAAUAAAAUACAAAAAUAAUAUAUUUUAUUAAAAGUAAAAAUAGGGAAAAAAAAUACGAGCAAAUGGCCGAAAUAAGGUUUUUUUUAAAUUUAUUUAAAAACACAUUAAAUUUAUUUAAAUUUCAAACAUAAUGUACUAAAAUAAUUUAAAAUAAUAAAAUUAGAAAAUAUGAUAUAUUUUAAAGUAAUAAAAUUCGGGAAAAAAUACGAACAAAGGGCUAAAAUAAGGGUUUUUUAUUAAAUUAAAAAAAGAAAUAAUUAAUACAUUUCAAGCAUAAUGUACUAAGAUAAAUUAAAAUAAUAAAAUAUGAAAAUAAUAUAUUUUUAUUGAAAGUAAUAAAAAUCGGGAAAAAAUAUGAGCAAAGGGCCGAAAUAAGGGUUUUUUAAUUUAUUUAAGAAACACACUAAAUUUAUUUAAAUUUAAAACAUAAUGUACUAAAAUAAUAUAAAAUAAUAAAAUUAUAAAAUAUAAUAUUUUUUUAAAGUAAUCAAAUUCGGGAAAAAAAUACGAACAAAGGGCCGAAAUAAGGAUUUUUUACUAAAUUUUUUUAAAAAAGAAUUAAUUAAUACAUUUAAAACAUAAUGUACUAAGAUAAAGUAAAAUAAUAAAAUACAAAAAUAAUAUAUUUUUAUUUAAAGUAAUAAAAUUCGGGAAAAAGUUCCGAGCAAAGGGCCAAAAUAACGGUUUUUUUUAAAUUUAUUUAAAAAACACACUAAAUUUAUUUAAAUUUCAAACAUAAUGUACUAAAAUAAUGUAAAAUAAUAAAAUUAGAAAAUAUGAUAUUUUUUUUAAAGUAAUAAAAUUCGAGCAAAAAAUACGAACAAAGGGCCGAAAUAAGGGUUUUUUUAAAUUUAUUUAAAAAACACACUAAAUUUAUUUAAAUUUCAAACAUAAUGUACUAAAAUAAUUUAAAAUAAUAAAAUUAGAAAAUAUGAUAUUUUUUAAAGUAACAAAAUUCGGGAAAAAAUACGAACAAAUGGCCGAAAUAAGGUUCGUUUACUAAUUUUUUUUUGAAGUUGCAGGCAUCGCAAUGGCUUCAUUGAUUAGCAGGGAUACACACAUCUGAUGCGGCUAAUGAGAUGGUAAUAUAUUAUUAUUUGUUAAUCACGGGUUCUAUUAAAAAAGGAUAUAAGUAAUAUAUAGAAAUAAAUCAUGGUAUCCUAAUUGUUUCUGUAAUUUAACACUAUCAGGACUCGUAUCGAGUAAUAAGGGGUCGGGUGAAUGGUUUAAAGCAUCCCCCGAAUUCACUAUUGAUGUCGUACUUGGAGCAAGCCUGAUUUGGGUCAGCAGCAUUGAUCCGGACGUUCGACUUGCGGUAUGAUUUAUUAUCUGCGAUAGUGGAGCGGUGGCGCCCGGACACCCACACUUUUCAUUUUCUGUGUGGGGAGUGCACGGUGACCUUAGAGGAUGUUACGCUGCAGCUUGGACUCCCAAUCGACGGAAGUCCCGUAAAGAGAGUAAGUUCAUUUACUGAUCCAGCUGCACUAUGUAAUCAGCUAAUAGAAGACUCGCCAAACGACGAUGACGAAAAUUUUACGAGCUUGAAAUUUACAUGGCUGAAAGCCAAAUUUGGACAGUUAUCAACGAAUGCCACUGAAGGUGAGUUGAUGUGCACUGCUCGAGCGUACAUCAUGCAUAUCCUAGGGGGAGUACUGAUGCCCGAUGCAAACAACAACAAGGUGCAUAUGAUGUACUUGCCCCUAUUAGCUGAUUUGUCCAAUGUUCGCUCGUAUAGCUGGGGCUCCGCCGUUCUAGCAGUGUUAUAUCGGAAGCUUUGUCGGACGACAAAGCCUUCUGUUGUAGACAUGGGCGGAUGCCUUACAUUGCUGCUGUCCUGAGCGCUCCAUCGGAUGCCAUUUUUGGCAUCGGUUACUCACCAACCGUAUGUUUAUCCACUAGUGAACAGGUGAUAAAAUAUAGCUUGUCAUUAUUUGUAGUCAUAGUAUAUUGAAUGAUGUUACCAACCCUAAACCCUAUAUUUCUUUUUGUAGGUGAAGUAUUUAUCCGGGUAUUGGGAGGUCGCACACUAUCCCGAUAUACCGACUCAUGAUCAAAUAGCAUGCCGGGAAAGGGGUAAGCUAUUCUAAUAUUAGUCUAUUUACCUUACUCACACCGUGUUAAAUUUAUAUGGAUGCCAUAUAUGGAUGCAGUUUAUAUGGAUGCCAUAUCGUCGCCCGAAAAUUACAGCUGUGAUACCCUCGUCUGCACACGUUCAUUCUGAAAUGUGGUGCACUAAUGCACCAAUUAUAAAUUUCAAUGUAGUCGAGUGGUAUCACGGGGAUCGGGUGCUACGACAGUUUGGUUGCAUCCAAUAUAUAUCCUGGAUCCACCAUGCGAGGUGGGGGCGGUUCACGGCAUGAAUAGGAGAGGAAAACCACAGUUGGAUUGGGGGUUAAGCACUAAAAAUUUAUUGCGCUGUGGAACGAUCGGAUAGUUCGAAGACCUCAGAUGGUUUUGGCAUAUUCAUUGCAACCAUUAUUAGAGUACAUACAAUGGUACUAUAAUUGCGGAAAGCAAUAUAUACUUGGAGGCCAGUCGACUGUAGCCCCCCGCACAUGCAGCUACCUGGGGGAUCGUGAUCCUGAACCAGAUCCCGAGCCGUAGCCCGAGCCAGAUCCCGAGCAGUCACAUUCACAUAGGGAUUCACAAUCCUAUCAUCCGAAUUUGGUGGGCGAUGAGUAUAUUCCGAGCUUCUUAGGGGGUGAAUACGCAUACGAGUUUGAUCUCUUUGGAUCCUACCCGCCGCAGUACGACACUCCCAGCCCGUACCUACAGCAUCAUGGGACUUCUUUAGGUUCAAGUUCAUCGAUGCCGAUUGAGCCACAUGAUUUUUCUUCUAUGUUUACCAUACCCCCUGCGCCAAAUGAGGACGUUGGUCGUCGCCAACACCCAGAACGUGACCGUCGACCUCCGCAUAGGUAUACCCCUAGGACCACACCAUCAAACCCUCAGUUCUAAGGGUUUAUUGCACUUUUUUGUACAUUACAAAGUUUGUACUUAUUGUAUAAAUUUAAUUACUUAAUUUAUUACACUUUUUAUAACUUAAAUUGGAUACAAUUUAAGCAUAAGCAUAAGCUGAAUAAUUUUAAUUAUUCCAAAUGAAUCAUGUUUUUAAUACCUUAAUUUGGAUACAAUUUAAGCAUAAGUAUAAGUUGAAUAAUUUUAAUUAUUCCAAAUGAAUUAUACUUUUUACAACAUUAGGUCAAUUCUGACCCGAUCCUGAUGACUGUCCGACAUGAUAGUUUCGCUGAGGGCAUUUAUUUUGACUAUGACCACUUAACCUGCAUAAUCCACAACGCUUACCGUCGAAUUUCUCCCUAAUGUCCAUUUCAUUAUGGAUUCUGGUUGAUUGCGAACGACCUCUUGGAUUCCUGCGUAGCCCUCUGUCUAGGAUAAACUUGAAAGUCGUUAGAGGCAACUCUCACGUAGACAGGUCAGGCAAGACGGGGAACUCAUUUUCCUAGACACGUAAUGUGCGCUCGAGCGUGUACACAUCAUCGACAUAUUUUUCAACAUUAAGGUUCACUUUAGCACACGCUGCCACGACAUGCGCACAUGGAUAAUGAAGUGUUUCGAACUCCUGCACUCGCACCUUCUGUUCCAGAUAUCAACUCCAUAAGACCUAGGUGGUAUACCAGGUCGACGACCGAUGGUCUCAGUAACUCGAAACGUUUCCAGACGUCGUGAAUAUAUUUCUACAUUCAUGGACCUCGCCAUCCGACGGUUUGCAACCAUUGCAUCCCUGACAUCUUCGACAAACACAUGUCCUGCCUCCAUCUAGUCAACUUGUUGCUGACUCAUUCUUGGCAUCAAGGUAGCCAACCUGUAGAAUAUAGCAGAGAAGACAGAUGCAAUCGGAUGAUGACGUGUUUUUAACAAUACAUCGUUUACCCCCUCCACUAAGUUUGUGGUCAUUUUUCCAUAACGAAAGCCCUCGUCAAAACAUUAAGCCCAUUGCCAACCCAGAAAGAUGUGUUUAUUUGCCCCUCUAUGUCACUCUCAAGUCGAAUCAUGCUUUGGCGGAAAAUAUGUGGCUCUAACUCGUACGCUGUAUAUAGGGGUGAGCAUUCGAUCGAAUCAAAUCGAAUCGAAUCGAAAAUUUUCGAGUUAAUCGAGUUUUCGAAUAUCAUUUUAUCAUCCUAACUUUAUUUGAAGUUUUAUCGAAUCGAAUCGAGUGAGAUGGAGAUCGAAUCGAAUCGAAUUAUUUGUUCGAGUUAAGUUUAAAAAUAAAAUAAAAUUAUUGUUGUUUAUUUUUAUGUAAUUUUUUAAAAAAUAAUUUUCUUUAAAGUUUUUAAACAUAAUCAUACAACAAAAAAUUGAAGUAAAUAAGUGAAUAAAUAAAAGUAACACAACAUCAACCCAAAUAAACAACAUGAUUCCAAAUAAACAACAAAAAUAAUACAAAAAGAUUAUAAUAAAAAACAUACGUAAAAAUCCAAGUAAAUAGCAUGAGUCAAAAUAAACUAAAUUAGAAAGAACAACAAUAAAUCUGCAGCUUCAAAAUGAUGGCUAUAGUUUGAUGAUGAUUGGUGCAUACAAAAAUAAUUGACUGCAAACUUAAGAACUAAAAGAUUCUUAUUUUUUGUGUUGGUUAUGUUUAGUACCAGAGAUGAUAUCAGUUCUUUCUCACCACCCCCACAAGAAAAGCUUAAGAACUAAACAAUAAGUAGUGAAAAUAAAAGGGAAUUCCACUCUCUCCCUGCAAACUUAAAGAAAACUCAAGCCUGCUCUGCUUUGAUAUACCUUAGAAAUCAAAAAAAUGGAAAAACAGUAGCUCUACUGAACUUUGUAACUAGUUGUUAAAACAGUGUUUUAAUGUUCAAAUAGUUAUUUAUAAGCACUUGAUUAGGUAAAAAAUGCCAAAUACAAAGAUGUGAAAUAUGUAUAGAAAUGAUAUUAAAUACACAAUUGAAAACUGCUCCCACUUUCCAUUACGUGUGGCCUAAGUUCUCAAAUUCCACAGAUAAUAUAGAUGGUAUUGCCCUAGGGUUUAUGAAUUAAAAUUGAAAAACAACCUAUCACAAAAUGAAGAUGAAAAUCAUGAACACACACACAUAUACAAACCUCCUAAAUUCAAUCACUAAAAUAGUAAAGUCCAUAGCUAGAAUGAACUAAAGAAAAAAAGAUUAAAAAAGAACCCUCUGAUAUCUACUUAAAAUCCCAUUUUUUCAUGGAAAGAAGUAACAAAUAAUAAUUAUUAAAAAUAACCCUUCAAUAUCUAUUUAAAUCCCAUUUUCCCCCAUGAAACAAAACACCCAAUGAUCAUUCAAUCAAAAGAAAUACGAAAUAAAACAAGAAUUAACACCAAGAGAGAAACAAAAAAAGGGGUAUAGAGGUAUACCUUAUGUGAAGAAUCUCAGAUCCUGAAAGCCUGAAUCCAAAAACAAACAGCAAAAAANNNNNNNNNNNNNNNNNNNNNNNNNNNNNNNNNNNNNNNNNNNNNNNNNNNNNNNNNNNNNNNNNNNNNNNNNNNNNNNNNNNNNNNNNNNNNNNNNNNNAAUAGGUUUAAGUUCAGGAAAGAAGAAACCUGUGGCAAAAGAAAGGUAUUUUGGGUGAUGGGUUUAAAGGAACUGAUUUUGCUUUGUUAAGUAGAGCUACUGUUUUUCCAUUUUCUUAAGAUUAUACUUGGGUUGUUUUCAGGCUUUGGUUUAUUUUUGUAUUGUUAUGGGGAAGAAAAGAUAUUACCAAACUGAACAUGUUAAAGAAAAUACAGUGUAAGGAAAGGAAUAAAAGUUAAUAUACCUUAGAAAUCCAAGGUAGAAGACGUAAAAGCACUGGCGGUGGAGCAGUCAGCCGUGGAGGACCCUGGACUGGAGGUGGAUCGGUGGAGAAGGGUGGACGGAGGUGAAGAUUUUUGAAUUGGGAAAAAAGGGAGGAGGGAGGGCACGAGCUUAGUUAGGGAUUUUGGAAGUGAUUUUGUUUUAAAUGUAGUGUAUUUUAAAAAUAAAAAAUAUAUGUAGUAUAUUUUAAAAAUAAAAAAUAUAGUUUUUAUUCGAAUUAUUCGAAUUAUUCGAGUUAUUCGAAUUCGAAAAUUCAACUCGAUUCGAACUCGAAAUUCGAAAGAAAAAAUUUGAAUUGAUUCGAUUAAUUCGAUUAACUCGAUUCGAAUAAUUCGAAAUUCGAAUUUUUUUCGAUUUUUUCGAAUCGAAUCGAAUUUUGCUCACCCCUAGCUGUAUACGUAUUAAGAAAAAAUAAGUUCCAGUAACUCGAUAACAUAAAACAUUACAACUUAUAUUGAAAAGAUAAGUUUAUCAUUUAGCCAUUGCCACGACUUGUCUCUUCCAGUCUGCAUUCUUAUAAUCUUUAUGGAAGUUGGACGCAAUGUGAUGGAUGCCGUAAAUGGAUCUCUAUGGCACACCUAAACGCCUAAUUGCUACAAUUAAACCUUUCCCUCUAUCGGAGAUGAUGCAAAUGUUAUCGUUGCUAAUAACAUACCUCCACAGGUUAGUGAGGAAGAAUUCCCAAGAUUUCAAGUUCUCCUUAUCUACGAUGGCAAAUGCUAUUGGGAGCAUGUUUCUAUUACCGUCCUGAGCAACUGCAAGAAGUAGGAUCUGUGUAUAUUUUCCAUAUAGCCUGGUCCCAUCCACCUGCACAAGUAGCUUGUAGUAGGGAAAUGCCCGCACACAUGAAUCAAAUGUCUAGAACAUCUGAUGGAAAAUCUUUUUUCCCUACUGUAACUGGUCGUCCGGGCCGUAAUAAGGCUUUGUCUGUAACUCAAUCACAGUCCCCAGUACGUACUCCCGCAUAGUAGCUAUCCAUCCUUGUAGCUCGUUAUACGACGAAUCAUAAUUCCCAUACAAUUGCUCCAAUGCCAUCUGUUUAGCUAUCCACGUCUUUCGAUAUGAUACUCGAUAUUGGAAUCGUGCUUGCAUUUUGGCAAUCAGCACCGAAACUUUAAUGGUCAGCAUGUCCUUCACCAUUGGCAUGAUACACAUAUAGAUAGUUUUCGAAUCAAGUUUUCCAUGAUCUUCUGUCAUACGUGUUGAUGUGCAUGUAUGAGGACCAACAAAUUAAGAAAUUGAAAGGAAUUUUCAAAAUGAAAGAAACUGGGGGAGGUGAGGAAGGAAGAAACAUAGAAAUAAAAAUUGUUUCCAAAGGGGAGGGGCUAACCAGAAAUAGGGGAUCGAAGAAAAUACUUCUUCUUCCCUUUUUUCGGAGGAAAAGGUGGGUCCAAGUAAAAUCGAUGAAACAGAAAAACUACGAGUAACUAGAAAGAAAAAAAAUAAAAUUAAGAGUGAACUCAACUUUCGUUUUAAAGAGACAUACUAUAAAAAUAGACCAGUUUAUGAAACUUUUUAUCUGGAUGAGAAUUAAAAAAAAUUGAAGUUAGAAAUAAAAAAAAGAUAAAUAUUUAUAGUAUGGGAUUAUGUGAAUACAAAAUUUGAAAUUAUUUAAUUUUUCAAGAUUCAUGAUUCUCCGUCUCAACAACAUCGUUUUUAAAAAUUCAUGUAUAAAUUCUCUCUCAAAAUGUGAUAUAACUUAUCACGGCAUCCCGUAUUUAUUAGUAUCUUUAAUUAAUAUUUAAUAUUUAUAAACACUAUUUAAGAAAAAAACCAAAUAAUAAUAAUAAUAAUAAUAAUAGUAAUAAUAAUAAUAAUAAGGGUCUCAAUCAUACCAUUUGUGGAAUGACUGUCUUUUUACUAGUAGACAGUGGCACAUUAAGCCUCUCCCAUCAUUCAUGGCAAUGCACUAACUAGCUUAAAAGCUAAAAAACCAAGAGCAGUCACAUUAUUAAAAUUUCAUUUAAUAAUUUAAUUGAUUUAUUGAGUCACUUAUAAAAAUUAUAUAAUUUUCUUUCAUUUUCAAACUAAAGACUCUUUUAAAUAAAAGAAAUAAUUGAUUUUUUAUUUGAAUAAUGAAAAUUUUUAAAUGAGAAAAAUAUAUCAAUUAUUUGAUUUUAUUGUUCUAGAAAGCAUGUAAAAUAAUUUGUGUUUAACAAUUCAAUUUUUCUUUUUAUAUAAUACUUGAAACUAUCCAUAAUUUCUUCUCAAUCGUAAAUAAGAGGACAAAUGCGCUUAAACUCACGUCCUCCUAUUCUGACAAUAAUACCAGUACCAAAUGGACAAUUCAAUUUAAAGACGAAAAUAAAUUUUAAUAAUUCACGUACUUGAAUAAUUUUUUUUAACAUUUCCAUAUUUAAAAUAUUAUAUAUAUAUAUUAAUCAUGUUAAUUAAUAGUUCAUAUUUUAUGCUAUACUUUAAUUAUUUAUGCAAGGUUUAUAUAGUAUAAUUGUAUCUAUCGAGGUGGAUUCUCGUUAGGGCCUAGAAGUUUCUAAAAAUUUUAUUUAAAUCUAUUAAAAUUUUUGAAGAUUUUCACUAAAAUUUGUUGUUCCUCAUACAUGCACAUCAACACGUAUGACAGAAGAUCAUGGAAAACUUGAUUCGAAAACUAUCUAUACGUGUAUCAUGCCAAUGGUGAAGGACAUGCCGACCAUUAAAGUUUCGGUACAGAUUGCCGAAAUGCAAGCACGAUUCCAGUAUCGAAUAUCAUAUCGAAAGGCGUGGAUAGCUAAACAGAUGACAUUGGAGUAAUUGUAUGGGGAUUAUGAUUCGUCGUAUAAGGAGAUUGUAAUAAGCCCAAUUUACCCGGGCCCUUACAAAACAAAAAAUAAGCAGUCUAAGUUUUUACAGGCCCAAACCCCAACAGCCCACUAACUAAAUUCCAACAGGAACCCUAGCAGCAUACAACCUUCAACCCUAGCCGCCGCACAUCAGCCCCGCACCACCACCCUUUGCGCACGUACGUGUCCCACGUACAUCUCCAGUUGGCCGAAUCUGCGCAACAAACGGCAAAACAGACGCAAAGAACAAGUAAACGAAAGAGAAAAACGCAAAAAAAAGAGAGAAUAACGGAAAUACAACUGCGUUGUGUUAUUUCUUUGAUUUUUCUUCAUCUUUCGACUAUAAAAAGUCGAGGAAAAUCUGUAAAAAGGAGGGGGAUUUCACGAAUCAAAUAAAAAACAGAAAAGAAAUUGAUAUCAAGAAGAGAUUUUAGAUUGAAGAUAGAUAUUUGUUUUUUUUUUCUCUUUUUUUUUGUUUUGACUUUUUUUAAAAAAAACUAGUAAGUAAUAAGAAAAAGAAAGGAAAGGACUUACCGGAGGUCCGUGGUCUUCUCGUUGGCCAAAGAUUGCCGUCCUUGGCGGAGCAGUGGCGAAGGAGCGGCGGCACGGCGACAUAAAGAUGCUAGGGUCAAAACCCUAGCAGAGAGAAAGGGGGCAACGGUUUUUUUGUUGUUUUAGAAAGUGGGCUGUCAAAUGAUUUUUAAAACAGAAAAUUUUGUUUAAAUAAUAAGGCAAUACGGUGUCGUUUCAUUAGGCCCCCUAGACGCCCAAAACGGCGUCGUUUUGGGGGCCAACCCAUGCACCGACCCGAUCUGGUCCCAAAUCCGCGUGUUUUGUAGCAUGGGGGAAUUUGCGCAAUUGGUCCCCCUAUUUUUGCAGUGUGUUUAAAUUAAAUUUCUGAUUUCUUUUAAAUUUCACUGCACAUUCUAUUUUUACUUCAAAUCAGUCCCUAUUACUGUGCAGCGUUUUAGGGAGGCGGAUUAUUUCUCUUUUGGUCCUCCACCCUUGCGCGCGCAUUCAAUGUGAUCCUGUUUUCAAAUUUACUUCGAAUUUAGUUUUUUUUAAGUUCAAUUUAACCCUUUUAUAAACUAUUUUAUUCAUUUUUUAUAAUUAUGUUAUACUAUGACAUUAUUAUUAUUAUUAUUAUUAUUAUUAUUAUUAUUAUUAUUAUUAUAUACGCUUGUUUUAAAAUAAUACAUAUACAUUUUUUUUAAAAAGCUUUUAAUACAUACAUAUAUUUUUGUAUAUACAAACAUUUUUUUUUACUUUUUUAAAUAUGAAUAUACGUAUUUUUUAUAUUAUCCUUCAUAGAUUUUUUUACAAACGUAUGUAUAUAUGUAUACCUACAUAUUUUAAUACAUAUUUUAAUACAUUCAUUUUCUAUAGUAUAAAUAUAUAUGUUUUUUGUUUUAAAUUAUUAUAAACAUUUUUAUUAUUUUAUAUAUGCUCCAUUAUUUUAUAUACAUAUUGUACAUAUUUUUAUAUUUUUACUUUAUUUACACAAUUCUCAUAUACAUAUAUGCAUGCAUUUUUAGAAAUUAUUAUAAGUUUUUAUGUAUUUCAUUCCCUUUUUAUAUGUAUACUUAUAUAUGUGUUUUAUAUAUGCAUUAACAUUUUAGCAUGUUUUUAAAGAAAAUAUAUUUUGGUUUCGUCAAAGCAUUAAAAUCGUUUUAUUUUUCUUAAUUUUUUUUAAAUAUUUGGCAAUCGUGAUUCUCGAGAAAGAUCGUGUCCUAACUUACUGGAUUGCGAUUAUUUUUUUUGAUGAAUUUAGAAAACCAAGUAUUUAUUUUGCAAUAAAUUCAUGAAAUUUUCAAAUAAAAGCUUAUUCUCAAGAAUCCAAAAAUGUCGGGUCCUAACUUACUGGUCAUGACAUUCUGGCAUCUCGAAAUAAGAAUUUUCAAAAGCAAAAGGCAAUAUUCUGGUAUUUUGAAGAUUUAAAAAUAUUGUGCCCUAACUCAUUGGGUGUGGUGUUUUAUUUCUUUGAAAUAAGAAUGUCUUAUUAUUUUGAUUCAUUCAUGAGAUAAAAAGUUUCCUUUUAAAAUCUUUUCAAUUUUUCAACACCAAGACAUUAAAGAAUCAAUUUGGUACCAAUUUUGGGGAGUUACGAGGGUGCUAAUCCUUCCUCAUGCGUAACUGACUCCCGGACUCAUUUUCUUAAAUUUCGUAGACCAGAAUCAUUUUAAGGUGAGCCGAUCACACCUUAAUAAAGGAUCGAUGGCGUCUCCAGUUUUUGUUUUUUUUAAGUCGACAACUAAAAUUUUUGUUUACAAAAAAUGGUUUCGACAGCUUGGCGACUCCGCUGGGGACACUAGAGAGUCGAGCUAGAAAUUGAUUCAUUUUUGUCUUGUGAUCAAAAAAUUAAAUUUGGGUUUUAAAAUCAUGAUUUCCCUUCGCAUUCAUUGAUUUUCAUCAUGAUAUGUUUGUUCGAUUGGCCUAAGUCUGUUCGUAUUUGCAUUUUGCAUUGCAUAAGUUGGUCAAAUUUACCCUCUAAGUGGGAGCGAGAAACUAGUCCUUCGUGAGGUUUUCACCUCCGUGCAGGGUAGUGGACCGCUUCCGGGAUACAUCUGUACCUAUGUCUUCGUGAGAUUUUCAUCUCCAUGCAGCCAUAGGGAAAUGUAUCCCCCUGAACUGAACUCGAUUCAUAUGAGCCUAUAAUGGGCGAGGAUCGAGGAAUCUGCUGGUUCGGGUACCCUUACUCUAGAAACUAAACCUCAUAUAGUGAGCUUUAGGAACUUGCCCUAGGUAGAACUAUUCCAAAACCCUAGUGGAUUCUGAAAUAAGUGUUCUUGCUAUUUCAUGUUUGUAUUGGAUUAUAUCUUUAUGUGUGAUACUAACUUGGGUUUGUUUUUGUUUUGACUGCAUGGCAUUUCAUUAUAGAAAAGAGAUGUUGAUUCACGUUUGGUUGUUAAUAGAGAACUUGCCAUGAAAAACGGGUUUCUUGAUAAGGUGGAAGAUAAUAUGGUUGUUCGAGUAUAGUCUAAGAAAAUGUGACACGAAAGGUAAUAGCCUAACAAGAGGAGUAUACGACUUUGCUGCAUGACCUGAGGAUUCAAAUUGUCAAAGUUUAUUCAAAAGUCAUCAAAGGUCCUAAUCUUUUAAAGAAGCUAAUGAACGUGAGUGAGCAAGGAGUUACGACCUAGAUCAAACAAAAAGGAGCUCAAAUUCGCGAGAUGCAUCUUAAAAUCCGAAUGAUCGAUGACUUCUCUUGGAGUACGAGGGUGAAGCCGUAUAGAUAUAGCCGCUUUAUGUAAAGAGAUUUGUUUUCUAGUGAAGUUUUCUAGUAAAGAAUUGAACAUGAAUCAACGUCUCUUUUCGCAUUCAUUUCAUGCAUUUGCAUUACAUUACAUCAUAUGCAUCAAACACCUCUAAAUGAUCCUAAUUAAUUAAAAUCACUGCUCAGUUAACCUGGAAACCAACCAACCAAUCAAACACCAUUAUGGCACUCGAGCAAAGAUUAAAGACAUGGAUCAGAGAUUGGAAAAGCUCGAACAGCACCAGAAAGAAAUGCAAGACCAACUCCAGUUACAAGUGCAGGAGCGGUUAGACAAGAUGCAACAGGAUAUGUCAGAGAAGAUACAGGAAUCCCAAAAUAAUAUGAUGGCAAAGUUAACCCAACUGUUGAAUGGAGGAGGUGAUAAGGGAAAGGGUCCCAUGGCUGAUGUCGAAGAGGGAAAAGAGGAUGAAUCACUCUAUCCUCCAGGCUUUACUCCUUCACAUGUGCGAAGUCAAGCUGAAUAUCUGCACAAAUCUACUGUCACAAUCAGGCCUCAGCAGUUUCGGGCUAGUGUUUCAAACUUCUAAGCUGGAUCGGGUUUUAAUCCCGGAAAUAACCCUAUUAACUCUGCCAUUCCUGACUUUGAUGAAGUGGCUAAAAAAGAAAGAAUAAAGGAAGAGUUACCAAAGCAGUUAGAAGAAAGGUGCAAAUGGCUCGAGGAGAAAUUAAAGGUGAUGGAGGUCACUGAAAGUUAUCGAGGAAUUGAUGCUAAAUAGCUGAGUUUAGUUCCGAAUUUGGUACUCCCUCAGGGUUUUUUACCCAAAUAGGAUAGAAAAAAAAUACUGAAAUGGGAUGUCAGAAAAAAAAUUUACCAANNNNNNNNNNNNNNNNNNNNNNNNNNNNNNNNNNNNNNNNNNNNNNNNNNNNNNNNNNNNNNNNNNNNNNNNNNNNNNNNNNNNNNNNNNNNNNNNNNNNUAUUGUAAUAUUGUAAUUUUGUAUGAAUAUUAUAAUUUUUUAUGAAUAUUGUAAUGUUGUAUGAAUAUUGUAAUAUUAUAAUUUUGUAUGAAUAUUGCAAUUUUUUUGUAUGAAUAUUGUAAUAUUGUAAUUUUGUAUGAAUAUUAUAAUGUGGGGAUAUAUUGUAAUAUUGUAAUUUUUUGUAUGAAUAUUGUAAUUAUUUUAUAAUUAAUUUGUUAGUAAUUUGGGAAAAAUUCACAAUAUUUUGUUCACCAUUGGCGCCUCCCAAAUAGGCACCACCAUUGGCGCCUCCCAAAUAGGCACCACCAUUGGCGCCUUCCAGAUAGGCGCCAAUACUAUGUAUUAUACGGGUUAUAUACUAACCCGGAAAAGUAUAAAUUAUAUUUUAAUCAAAAAAAUUAUUAUUAUUAUUUUAUUCAUUGGCGCCUACCAAAUAGGCUCCAAUGAAAAAGUAACCUAUUUUGGUAAAAAAAUUUUCUGACAUACUAUUUCACUAAAUUUUUUUUUCUAUCCUAAUUAGGUAAAAAACCCAACUCCCUCAUAAGUUUAAGAUGCCAGAAUUCGAGAAGUACAAUGGGACGACUUGCCCAGAGGCUCAUAUCACCAUGUUCUGCAGGCGAAUGGCUGGAUACAUUAACAAUGACCAGCUAUUAAUACACUGUUUCCAAGAUAGCCUAGCAGGGGCAGCAUCUAAGUGGUACAAUCAGCUGAGCCGUACCACAAUUGGUUCAUGAAGGGACUUGGCACAAGCAUUCAUGAAACAGUAUAGUCAUGUGACAGACAUAGCUCCUGAUAGAAUUACCCUUCAAAACAUGGAGAAGAAGUCGAGCGAAAGCUUUAGGCAGUACACACAAAGUUGGAGGGAAGUCGUAGUCCAAGUUCAACCACCGCUCUUAGAGAAAGAAAUGACGAUGCUUUUUAUAAAUACAUUGAAAGCCCCGUUCAUCACACAUAUGUUAGGAAGUGCCACAAAAAGCUUUUCUGACAUAGUCAUGAAUGGUGAAAUGAUUGAAAGCGUCAUAAGGAGCGGGAAAAUUGAUGCAGAGGAGAGUAACAAGAGGUCAAUCUCAAGGAAAGAGAAAAUGAGGUGAACAACACGAGUUACUCUAAACCAGUUAUUGUGAGUCAGCCAAGAAAGGUGGCUACUAACCAACAAAGUUUAUUAAGACAAUAAUCUAGAGUGAAACCAGGUACUGAGAAGCUCCAAUUCACACCAAUUCCGAUGUCAUAUAAGGAUCUGUAUCAAAGCUUGUUUGAUGCGCAUGUUGUUGCUCCUCAUUACUUAAAACCUCCACAACCUCCGUAUCCUAAGUGGUAUGAUGCGAACGCGCAAUGUGACUACCACGCGAGAAUUAUGGGGAACUCAAUAGAGAAUUGCAUUACCUUCAAAAAGCUAGUUGAAAAAUUCAUCAACAUGGGUAUUGUCAAGUUGGGUGACUCAUCAACUGCAGAAAAUCCUUUACCCAAUCAUGAUUGAGGAUGGAGGGACUGCAAUGUAUGAAGAGGUGGUGAGGUUUUCAUAUCGAUGCCAUAUAUGCAGCCACAAAUAAAAAGGUCCUUGUUAGAUAUUCGCCUGGGAGGUGUUAUAAGUAAUGGGACUGCAGAGGAAACCCCUAUAUUAUUUAGAGUUUGUUAGAGUAAUGUUCAGAACACACUUGUUGCUUUUAGCCUAGAAGCAAUAAGAACUUCUUUGUGAAAUAGGCUCAUGUCUGAACAUUAUUAUUUUAAUAAAAUACAUCAGUGCAAUCAUCUUUGAGCAAAUGUUCUUUCAUUCUUUACGAUUCUUUCAUUCUUUUGGAUUUUCUGCCAAACUAUUCUUUCAUUCAUUCAUAAUCAUAUUAUCUAUAAAUCCAUACAUUCUUUGUGUAUUCUUUAACACCUACAAUAGGUCCCUGGAUAUCAAUGACAUGAGUGACGCUGCUACAGACUCAAAAUCUCCUUUUUGAGUGAGCCAUGUGUUUAGAGAGAUCUCACAACUUUGAAGAGGACAUGGAUUGUAGCUUAUCUCCAGACUUGAUGAGGAUGGUAAAAUAAGAGGAUAGACAAAUCCAACCUCACAAAGAAUCAUUAAAAGUUGUGAGCUUGGUAUAGAUUGGAAUUGACAUGACCGAAAAAACAAAGCAAUACGUUGUUGGGUUACUUCAAGCAUUCAAAGAUGCCUUCGCAUGGUCAUACUAGGAUGUGCCCGGUUUAAGUGUUGUCACUGCAAUCUAAACAACAGCACGAUACCAAAAUUUUACAGUAUGGUCAAGGUGAAUAUCAUGAAUGGUGCAAUGAAAACUCUACCAGGGCAAUGCCACUUUUUUCAGUUUAUCACAUUUUUUUCAUUGAAGUUGAAAUUCUUUCUCUUCGAGUUUUGGCUAAGCUGAAGUAGGAUGAAGAUCCAAUCCCGAUACAAUUAGUUGAACCUAGUUGAAGAAAAAGGCUAGAAACUAUUCAUCAGGGGCAGAUGUACCAAGAAAUGAAUGAUGCGAGCCUAUAGCAAAAGGUUUGUCCCAGAGAAUUCCACGAUGGCGACCUAAUGCUGAAGAAGAUCCUCACUCUACAAAAAAUAUAACGGAUGCCAAAUUGGGAAGAACCUUAUGUUAUAGAGAAGGUCAUUUCCAGAGGAGCUUUGAUUUUGAGGGAGAUGGAUGAUAAACCUGCAAAGUCCUGUAAACUCAGGUUCAGUCAGGAAAUACUCAGCUUAAAGAAUGAGAUGACCAAGGUAAAAACCCGUAAAUGGCACUUUGAGUUGUAAAAAAUGACGAGAUGGAAAAUGAAAAAGUGAAAAUGAAAUUUGAAAAUGGAAAAGUAAAAUGGAGAGGCUAAGGUGAAAAUCCGCAAAGGGCGCCUUAGACCAAAGGGGAUUUGAGUUGAAAACCCGAAAAGGGCGGCUCAAAUAUUGAUCAGAAUGUGGCAUGAGAUUAUCAGAGUAGCUCAAAUACUAAUCAGCAUGGGGCAUGCAGUGGUCUUGCUAUACCUGAAUCAGCAGGAAAGGGUAGGCGACAUCUUGGGGCAUCAACAAAGUACUGUAGAUCUCCUAAACACAUGUUAAACUCAGAAUGGUCUUCAGAAAGUUUGUACAGAGAAGUUCAAGCUGAGAUAUCUGGGGCGCCUAAUCCUUAUACUCUUUCUUGUUAUUCUUGGAACACUUCAUUCAUUUCCAAGAUAUGCAUUCCUAAAUCAAUUUCUUUAUUAUCCAUCUUUACUAUCUUUGAUAUUUUAUUCAUUUCGAGCUAUGCUCAGAACCAACUUUCUUCUUAUCCAUGAUCUUUUUGCAAGUAUGUUGCAUUAGAAUAAUGAUUAAUAGACUAAUAAAAUUUUCACAAGGGAAGUUAUGCUUAUUACUCUAGAAUUUUUUAAAUAAUAUAGGAACCUCAAACAGGACUAUUGUUUAGAACGCACCAGGUUGGAAAUCCGAUAAAGAAGAGUCUAAAUUAAGACUAUCCCUUUGAAUUUUCUUGUCUAAAGUAUUAAUUAAACAAAAUGGCAAGAUGUCGUGUUGGUGUCAAAGCUUCAAUGAACAAGCAAGCAAUGAUCACCGAAUAAUAAGAAGAAGUUGUUCUUGGACAAGAUUUAUUCAUUUGUGUAUGAGCAUUUCGUACAACACCUUGGGAAUGGUGUAAGAGACCAAAAAGUUUCACAUCCUGUAUCCUUGAAUUGUGAUAACAAAGGAUUGAGAAAAGGCCAAAUCUUUUACUCUUGGGUUACAACGGGAAAAGAUGAUACAAAUUUUGCAUCCCAGUGGAUCAAACUUGGAGGUUUACAGUGGGGGCAAUCUGGUCAAGUGCUUAUUGGGAUCGCCAGUUGAGCAUAAAGGCGCUAUAGUACAUUAAGUGAUAAGACCUUAAUAAACUUGGAGUAAUGAUAACUCAGGCGUUAAAAUAUCAUUUUCAUGACAUUCUACAUUCAUUCAAAUGUCAUUCAUACAUGUCUAGUUAGGAGCAUUUGAUUCAUUUUGAUCAUGCCAUCCUAAUCAUUAGGCAUAAUUAGGUUCAUUAUACAGGUUCUGUUCUCCAGAGAACAGAUCAGCGAAAAUAGCAGAUCUUGCCUUCCUGCAUUGACAGCGAAGCAGAUCGAAGAUACCAGCCUUGCCUCCCUCGAUUGCAGUGGAGCAGGUUGAUGGUGGAUUUUACCUCCCUGAGGUUACAGUGGAGUACAUUGAAACCAGUAAUUCUAUCUCCCUGGGCAAUAGUGGAAUAGAUCAAAGAUUACAGGUCUUAUCUCCCUAAGCAGUAGUGGAGCAGAUCAAAGAUGGUGGAUUUUACCUCCCUGAGGUUACAAUGGAGUACAUUGAAACCAGUAAUUCUAUCUCCCUGGGCAGCAGUGGAAUAGAUCGAAGAUUACAGGUCUUAUCUCCCUAAGCAGUAGUGGAGCAGAUCAAAGAUGGUGGAUUUUACCUCCCUGAGGUUAUAGUGGAGUACAUUGAAACCAGUAAUUCUAUCUCUCUGGGCAACAGUGGAAUAGAUUGAAGAUUACAGAUCUUAUCUCCCUAAGCAAUAGUGGAGCAGAUCAAAGCUGGCAAAAUCUACCUCCCUGAGGUUGCAGUGGAGUAUAUUGAAGCCAGUAAUUCUAUCUCCCUGGUCGGCGGUGGAAUCAAUUGAAGAAAUCAGAUCUUGUCUUCAUGUAUUGGCGUGAAGUAGAUCAAAGAUAGCAGAUCUUGUCUCCCCAUACUAGUGGCAAAGUAGAUCGAAGAAAGUAGAUCUUGUCUUCAUGUAUUACCGUGAAGUAGAUCGAAGAUAGCAGAUCUUAUCUUCCUAUACUGGUGGCGAAGUAGAUCGAAGAAAGCAGAUCUUGUCUUCAUGCACUGGCGUGAAGUAGAUCAAAGAUAGCAGAUUUUGUCUUCCCAUACUGGUGGCGAAGUAGAUUGAAGAAAGCAGAUCUUGUCUUCAUGUAUUGGCGUGAAGUAGAUCAAAGAAAGCAGAUCUUGUCUUCAUGUACUAGCGUGAAGUAGAUCAAAGAAAGCAGAUCUUGUCUUCAUGUACUGGCGUGAAGUAGAUCAAAGAUAGCAGAUCUUGUCUUCCCAUACUGGUGGCGAAGUAGAUCGAAGAAAGCAGAUCUUGUCUUCAUGUACUGGCGUGAAGUAGAUCAAAGAUAGCAGAUCUUGUCUUCCCAUACUAGUGGCGAAGUAGAUUGAAGAAAGCAGAUCUUGUCUUCAUGUAUUGGCGUGAAGUAGAUCAAAGAUAGCAGAUCUUGUCUUCCCAUACUGGUGGCGAAGUAGAUCGAAGAAAGCAGAUCUUGUCUUCCCAUACUGGUGGCGAAGUAGAUCGAAGAUACAAGUCUUAUCUCCCUGAAGUUGCAGUGGAGUAGACAGAAGAAAAUAAUCCUAUCUCCCUGAAGUUGCAGUGGAGCGGAUUAAAACCAUAGAUCUUAUCUCCCUGAAGUUACAGUGGAGUAGACAGAAGAAAAUAAUCCUAUCUCCCUGAAGUUGCAGUGGAGCAGAUUAAAACCAUAGAUCUUAUCUCCCUGAGUUGCAGUGGAGUAGACAGAAGAAAAUAAUCCUAUCUCCCUGAAGUUGCAGUGGAACAGAUUAAAACCACAGAUCUUAUCUCUCUGAAGUUGCAGUAGAGCAGAUCGCAUCAGAUUUAUCUUUAAGUUGUAGCAGAACAAGUUGAAGCUCUAAGUCUUAUCUCCCUGAAGUUGUAGUGGAGCAGAUUAAAGAUAGCAAAUUUUGUUCUUUUGAGAAGCUACAACGUAUGAAUUCUAUCUCCCCGAUAUUGCAGUAGAGUAGAUUGAAGCACCAGUUCCUAUACCUCUGAAGAUGCAGCAGGAAGGAUUGAGGCUACUUGAAAAAGAAAAGCACCGAAGAAGCCGAGGCUUAGUAAGACUGGGUACAAUUGGGCUUUUCAGUCUUUGCUCUGUUCUCGUUACACGACAACAAGCAAAAAGGGGCAACUGUAAUAAGCCAAAUUUACCCGGGCCCUUACAAAACAAAAAAUAAGCAGUCCAAGUUUUUACAGGCCCAAACCCCAACAGCCCACUAACUAAAUUCCAACAGCAACCCUAGCAGCAUACAACCUUCAACCCUACCCGCCGCACAUCAGCCCCGCACCACCACCCUUUGCGCACGUACGUGUCCCACGUACAUCUCCAGUUGGCCGAAUCUGCGCAGCAAACGGCAAAACAGACGCAAAGAACAAGUAAACGGAAGAGAAAAACACAAAAAAAAAGAGAGAAUAACAAAAAUACAACUGUGUUGUGUUAUUUCUUUGAUUUUUCUUCAUCUUUCGACUAUAAAAAGUCGAGGAAAAUUUGUAAAAAGGAGGGGGAUUUCACGAAUCAAAUAAAAAACAGAAAAGAAAUUGAUAUCAAGAAGAGAUUUUAGAUUGAAGGUAGAUAUUUGUUUUUUUUUUCUCUUUUUUUGUUUUGACUUUUUUUAAAAAAAAUAGUAAGUAAUAAGAAAAAGAAAGGAAAGGGCUUACCGGAGGUCCGUGGUCUUCUCAUUGGCCAAAGAUCGCCGUCCUUGGCGGAGCAGUGGCGAAGGAGCGGCAGCACGACGACAUAAAGAUGCUAGGGUCAAAACCCUAGCAGAGCAAAAGGGGGCAACAGUUUUUUUUUUUUGUUGUUUUAGAAAGUGGGCUGUCAAAUGAUUUUUAAAACAGAAAAUUUUGUUUAAAUAAUAAGGCAAUACGGCGCCAUUUCAUUAGGCCCCCUGGACGCCCAAAACGGCGUCGUUUUGGGGGCCAACCCGUGCACCGACCCGAUCUGGUCCCAAAUCCGCGUGUUUUGUAGCAUGGGGGAAUUUGCGCAAUUGGUCCCCCUAUUUUUGCAGUGUGUUUAAAUUAAAUUUCUGAUUUCUUUUAAAUUUCACUGCACAUUCUAUUUUUACUUUAAAUCAGUCCCUAUUACUGUGCAGCGUUUUAGGGAGGCGGAUUAUUUCUCUUUUGGUCCUCCACCCUUGCGCGCGCAUUCAAUGUGAUCCUGUUUUCAAAUUUACUUCGAAUUUAGUUUUUUUUAAGUUCAAUUUAACCCUUUUAUUAACUAUUUUAUUCAUUUUUUUUAUAAUUAUGUUAUAUUAUUAUUAUUAUUAUUAUUAUUAUUAUUAUUAUUAUUAUCAUCAUCAUCAUUAUUAUUAUUAUUCCUACUAUAUAUAUAUACGCAUGUUUUAAAAUAAUACAUAUACAUACAUUUUUUUUAAAAAGCUUUUAAUACAUACAUAUAUUUUUGCAUAUACAAACAUUUUUUUUUACUUUUGUAAAUAUGAAUAUACGUAUUUUUUAUAUUAUCCUUCAUAGAUUUUUUUACAAACGUAUGUAUAUAUGUAUACCUACAUAUUUUAAUACAUAUUUUAAUACAUUCAUUUUCUAUAGUAUAAAUAUAUAUGUUUUUUGUUUUAAAUUAUUAUAAACAUUUUAUUAUUUUAUAUAUGCUCCAUUAUUUUAUAUACAUAUUGCACAUAUUUUUUUUAUAUUUUUACUUUAUUUACACAAUUCUCAUAUACAUAUAUACAUGCAUUUUUAGAAAUUAUUAUAAGUUUUUAUGUAUUUCAUUCCCUUUUUAUAUGUAUACUUAUAUAUGUGUUUUAUAUAUGCAUUAACAUUUUAUCAUAUUUUUAAAGAAAAUAUAUUUUGGUUUCGUCAAAGCAUUAAAAUCGUUUUAUUUUUUUAAAAUUUUUUUUAAAUAUUUGGCAAUUAUGAUUCUCGAGAAAGAUCGUGUCCUAACUUACUGGAUUGCGAUUAUUUUUUUUGAUGAAUUUAGAAAACCAAGUAUUUAUUUUGCAAUAAAUUCAUGAAAUUUUCAAAUAAAAGCUUAUUCUCAAGAAUCUAAAAAUGUCGGGUCCUAACUUACUGGUCAUGACAUUUUGGCAUCUCGAAAUAAGAAUUUUCAAAAGCAAAAGGCAAUAUUCUGGUAUUUUGAAGAUUUAAAAAUAUUGUGCCCUAACUCACUGGGUGUGGUGUUUUAUUUCUUUGAAAUAAGAAUGUCUUAUUAUUUUGAUUCAUUCAUGAGAUAAAAAGUUUCCUUUUAAAAUCUUUUCAAUUUUUCAACACCAAGACAUUAACGAAUCAAUUUGGUACCGAUUUUGGGGCGUUACGAGGGUGCUAAUCCUUCCUCGUGCGUAACUGACUCCCGGACUCAUUUUCUCAAAUUUUGUAGACCAAAAUCAUUUUAAGGUGAGCCGAUCACACCUUAAUAAAGGAUCGGUGGUGACUCCAAUUUUUGUUUUUUUUUAAGUCGACAACUAAAAUUUUUGUUUACAAAAAAUGGUUUCGACAGAGCUACAAGGAUGGAUAGCUGCUAUGCGGGAGUACGUACCGUGGACUGUGAUUGAGUUAUAGACAAAACCUUAUUACGGCCUGGACGACCAGUUACAGCCAGGAAAAAGGAUUUUCCAUCGGAUGUUCUGGACGUUUGAUCCAUCUAGAGCCAAACACAUAUUUUCGACAAUGGUUGGGUACAAUAGAGCCGUGGCAAUGUGCUCAAAGUUUUGACGAGGGCUUUCGUUAUGGACAAAUGACCACAAACUUAAUGGAGGGGGUAAAUGCUGUAUUGUUGAAAACAUGUUAUCUUCCAAUUGCAUCUGUCUUCUCUACUACAUUCUACAGGUUGGCUACCUUGAUACCAAGAAUGAGUCAGCAACAAGUCGACCAGAUGGAGGCGGGACACGUGUUUGUCGAAGAUGUCAGGGAUGUAAUCAAACCGUCGGAUGGCGAUGUCCAUGAAUGUAGAAAUAUAUUCACGACGUCUGGAAACAUUUUGAGUUACUGAGACCAUCGGUCGUCGACCUAGUAUACCACCUACGUCUUAUGGAGUUGAUCUCCGAAAUAGACGGUACGAGUGUAGGAGGUUCAAAACACUUCAUUAACUAUGUGCGCAUGUCGUGGCAGCGUGUGCUAAAGUGAACCUUAAUGUUGAACAAUAUGUCGAUGAUGUGUACACGCUCGAGCGCACAUUGCGUAUCUGGGAAAAUGAGUUCCCUAUCCUACCUGACCUGUCUACGUGAGAUGUGCCUCCGAAGACUUUUGAGCUUUUCCCAGACAAAGGGCUACGCAAUAAUUCAAGAGGUCGUCAGCAAUCAACUAGAAUCCGUAAUGAAAUGGACAUUAGGGAGAAAUUCGACGGUAAGUAUUGUGGAUUAUGCAGGUUAAGUGGUCAUAGUCGGAAUAAAUGCCCUCAGCGAAACUAUCAUGUCUGACAGUCAUCAGGAUCGGGUCGAAAUUGACCUAAUGCUGUCAAAUUGUUAUGUGUAAUGUUGUAAAAAGUAUAAUUCAUUUGGAAUAAUUAAAAUUAUUCAGCUUAUGCUUAUGCUUAAAUUGCAUCCAAAUUAAGGUAUUAAAAACAUGAUUCAUUUGGAAUAAUUAAAAUUAUUCUGCUUAUGCUUAUGCUUAAAUUGUAUCCAAAUUAAGGUAUUAAAAACAUGAUUCAUUUGGAAUAAUUAAAAUUAUUCAGCUUAUGCUUAUGCUUAAAUUGUAUCCAAAUUAAGGUAUUAAAAACAUGAUUCAUUUGGAAUAAUUAAAAUUAUUCUGCUUAUGCUUAUGCUUAAAUUGUAUCCAAAUUAAGGUAUUAAAAACAUGAUUCAUUUGGAAUAAUUAAAAUUAUUCAGCUUAUGCUUAUGCUUAAGUUGUAUCCAAAUUAAGGUAUUAAAAACAUGAUUCAUUUGGAAUAAUUAAAAUUGUAUCCAAUUUAAGUUAUAAAAGGUGCAACAAAUUAAGUAAUUAAAUUUAUACAAUAAGUACAAACUUUGUAAUGUACAAAAAUAUGCAAUAAACCCCUAAAAAUGAUGGUUCGAUGGUGUGGUCCUAGGGGUAUACCUAUGCGGAGGUCGACGGUCACGUUCUGGGUGUUGGCGACGACCAACUUCCUUAUUUGGCGCAGGUGGGGGUGUGGUAAACAUAGAGGAAAAAAUCAUGUGACUCAAUCGGCAUCAUGAACUUGAACCUGAAGGGGUCCCAUGAUGCUGUAGGUACGAGCCGAGAGUGUCGUACUGCGGCGGGUAUGAUCCAAAGAGAUCAAACUCGUUUGCGUAUUCGCCCGCUGAGAAGCUUGGAAUAUAGUCAUCGCCUGCCAAAUCCGAAUGAUAGGAUUAUGAAUCCCAUGUGAAUGUAACUGCUUAGGAUCUAGCUCAGGCUCCGGGUCGGGUUUCGGCUUGGGCUCUGGUUCGGGAUCAUGAUCUGUUGCAGGCUCUACCUCUAUCGGGGUCGCUGGGUACAAUCCCCCAGAUAGCUGCAUGUGCGGGGGGAAUACAGUCGACUGGCCUCCAAGUAUAUAUGGUUUUCCGCAACUAUAGUACCAUUGUAUGUACUCUAAUGAUGGUUGCAAUGAUUAUGUCAUAACCAUCUGAGGUUUGCGACCCAUCUGAUCGUUCCAUAGCGUAACAAAUUUUCGAUGCUUAACCCGCUAAUCCAACUACAGUUUUCCCCUCCUAUUCAUGCCGUGAACCGCCCCCACUUCGCGUGGUGGAUCCGGGAUAUAUUGGAUGUAACCAAACUGUCUGCACCCGAUCCCCGUGAUACCACUCGACUACAUUGAAAUUUAUAAUUGGUGCGUUAGUGCACCACAUUUCAAAAUGAACAUAUGCAGACGAAGGUAUCACAGCUAUAAUUUUCAGGCGACGAUAUGGCAUCCAUAUAAACUGCAUGAUUAAUAACAUGGUUAUAAUUUAACACGGUGUGAGUAAGAUAUAGAAAGUAAAUGAACUAAUAUUAGAAUAGCUUACCCCUUAUCCGGCAUGUUGUUCGAUCAUGAGUCAGUAUAUUGGGACAGUGUACGACCUCUCGAUACCCGGAUAAAUACUCCACCUACAAAAAGAAAUAUAGGGUUUAUGGUUGGUAACAUCAGUCAAUAUACUAUGACUACAAAUAAUGACAAGUUAUAUUUUAUCACCUGUUCACUAGUGGAUAAACAUACGGUUGGUGAGUAGCCGAUGCCAAAAAUAACAUCCGAUAGAGCGCCCAGGACUACAGCAAUGUAAGGCAUCUGCCCAUGUCUACAACAGAAGGUUUUGUCGUCCGAUAAAGCUCCCGAUAUAACACUGCUAGAAUGGCGAAGCCCCAGCUAUAGGAGCGGACAUUGGACAAAUCAGCUAAUAGGGGCAAGUACAUCAUAUGCACAUUGUUGUUGUUUGCAACGGGCACCAGUACUCUCCCUAGGAUAUGUAUGAUGUACGCUUGAGCAGCGCACAUCAAUUCACCUUCAGUGGCAUUUGCUGAUAACUGUCCAAAUUUGGCUUUCAGCCAUGUAAAUUUCAAGCUCGUAAAAUUUUUCUCAUCGUCAUUUGGCGAGUCUUCUAGUAGCUGAUUACAUAGUGCAGCCGGAUCAGUAAAUGAACUUACUCCCGUUAUAGGACUUGCGUCGAUUGGGAGCUCAAGCUACAGGGCAACAUCCUUUAAAGUCACCAUGCACUCCCCACACGAAAAAUGAAAAGUGUGGGUCUCUGGGCGCCACCGCUUCACUAGCGCAGAUAAUAAAUCAUACCGCAAGUCGAACGUCUGGAUCAAUACUGCUGACCCAAAUCUGACUUGCUCCAAGUAUGGCAUCAAUCGUGAAUUCGGGGGAUGCUUUAAACCAUUCACCCGGCCCCUUAUUACUCAGUACGAGUCCUGAUAGUGUUAAAUUACAGAAAAAAAUUAGGAUAACAUGAUUUAUUUCUAUAUAUUACGUAUAUCCUUUUUUAAUAGAACCCGUGAUUAACAAAUAAUAAUAUAUUACCAUCUCAUUAGCCGCAUCAGAUAUGUGUGUAUCCCUACUAAUCAAUGAAGCCAUUGCGAUGCCUGCAACUUCAAAAAAAAUUUAGUAAAAAACUCUUAUUUCGGCCCUGUGUUCGUAUUUUUUUCUGAAUUUUAUUACUUUAAAAAUUAUCAUAUUUUCUAAUUUUAUUAUUUUACAUUAUUUUAGUACAUUAUGUUUGAAAUUUAAAUAAAUUUAGUGUGUUUUUUAAAUAAAUUUAAAAAAAACCCUUAUUUGGUCAUUUGCUCGUAUUUUUUUCUCGAAUUUUUUUACUUUCAAUAAAAAUAUAUUAUUUUGGUAUUUUAUUAUUUAACUUUAUCUUAGUACAGUAUGUUUUAAAUGUAUUAAUUAAUUCUGUUUUUUUUAAAUUUAGUAAAAAAACCCUUAUUUCGGCCCUUUCUUAGUAUUUUUUACUUUAAAAAAAAUCAUAUUUUCUAAUUUUAUUAUUUUACAUUAUUUUAGUACAUUAUGCUUGAAAUUUAAAUAAAUUUAGUGUGUUUUUUAAAUAAAUUAAAAAAACCCUUAUUUCGGCCCUUUGCUUGUAUUUUUUCCCGAUUUUUAUUACUUUCAAUAAAAAUAUAUUAUUUUUGUAUUUUAUUAUUUUACUUUAUCUUAGUACAUUAUGCUUGAAAUGUAUUAAUUAUUUCUGUUUUUUUUUAAUUUAGUAAAAAACCCUUAUUUCGGCCCUUAGUUCGUAUUUUUUUCCCAAAUUUUAUUACUUUAAAAAAUAUCAUAUUUUGUAAUUUUAUUAUUUUACAUUAUUUUAGUACAUUAUGUUUGAAAUUUAAAUAAAUUUAGUGUGUUUUUAAAAUAAAUUUAAAAAAACCCUUAUUUCGGCCCUUUACUCGUAUUUUUUCCAAUUUUUAUUACUUGCAAUAAAAAUAUAUUAUUUUCGUAUUUUAUUUUUUACAUUAUUUUAGUACAUCAUGUUUGAAAUGUAUUAAUUUUUUCUUUUUUUAAAUUUAGUAAAAAACUCUUACUUCAGCCCUUUGUUCGUAUUUUUUUUCUCUGCAUUUUAUUACUUUAAAAAAUAUAAUGUUUUCUAAUUUUAUUAUUUUACAUUAUUUUAUUUCAUUAUGUUUGAAAUUUAUUAAUUUAGUGUGUUUUUUAAAUAUACAAUUUUUUGAAUUUUAUUACUUUCAGUGAAUAUACAAUUUCCUUUUUUUUCUUUUCGUAUUUUAUGUUUUCUUAAACAUGUUUUUUUAUAAUUUUUUUAAUGUUAGUUUCCUAAAAAAAUAAUUACAACAUCCUAAAUUAAUUUCAUAAAAAAAAUUUUAAUCAACAUAGAAUGUACAUAACAUGAAUUUUUUCAUGCUAAAUAAAUUUCAUAAAAUAUAUAUACUAAAUAAAAUAAUAAAACACAUACAAUAUACAUAACAUAAAUUUUUUACACAAAUAUUACAAAAAAAAUUAAAUUAAUACAAAAAAAUUACCUUUACUUCUUUUUUUCCUUUCUUUUUCCUUCCUUCCCUUUUCUUCUUCUCCUUUUUUUUUCUCUUUCUUCUCCUUCCUUUUCUUUCUUUCUUUCCUCUCCUUUCCUUCUCCUUUUCUUCUCCACCCACCGGGCUGAAUGGUCCCCCCAUUAUAAGGGAAGUGGUGCCGCCUGUGGUAGUGGCACCAUCGGUGCCGCCUCUGCCAUUGGCACCAAUGGUGCCGCCUAUGGCAGCCCCUUCACCAGGGUGCUAUCACAUCCCUGUAGCUUUUUUUUAAAACUUUUUUUUGUAUUAUUUUGAUAAAUAAAAAAAGUUAAUAUUAUUUUAAUAUUUUUUUAUUUUAUUUUUAAUAUUUUAGUAAAAUACCCCAUGUUGCUUAUCCAACCUACUCUGACGUAUGACGCACCCAUUGCGUCACUGCAAACGCAAUUUUGGUCCUUCUACAUGCUAUAAUAAAGGGGGCAAUGGUUCUGGUUUAGACAAGAAAACUGAAUGCGUUGAUGAAGCUUCUAAUUCUUGCUCCAUGUUGUUUGUUCUUCAUAGCUUUAAUAAAAUUACUUUAUGAUUACCUAUGGAUACCUCUCCGUAUUCAGCAUAUGCUGAAUUCACAGGGGAUCAAAGGACCUCCUUACAGAUUCAUCCAUGGCAACAACAAGGAAGUUACCAAAAUGAAACAAAAAGCUUUAAGUAAAUCUGUGGGCUUGACGGAUGAUUUAUUUCCCAAAGUACAGCCACAUGUUUACACCUGGACCAACAGAUAUGGUAAGAUCCAUGCUUGUUUUUUUCACUAUGAUUUAUAACUUGUAGUUCUAAGAAAAGGUAGACCCUUUUUCUUUUCACGUUAUUAGGGAAGAAUUUUGUUUAUUGGAACGGUGCUCGAGCUGAAUUGGUGAUUUCAGAGCCUGAAUUAAUCAAAGAGGUUCUGAAAAAUAGUGAACAAAUUUUUCAGAAAAAGGAACUUUCAGAUAUUGGUAGAAAGUUCUUGGGGAAUGGUCUUAUAUUCAUUGAGGGGGAAAAAUGGGCAAAGCAUCGAAAGCUGGCCAAUCACACUUUCCAUGGGGAAAGUCUAAAGGUAAGGCUUCCAAAUAUAUAAACCAGGUGUAAUUAAUUUACAAGAAUUAUACAUAGACUACAAUAUUUUGGUAAAAUUUUGUAUUGUUAGCUAAAGAUAAGUUUAUUAUGGACGUUGAAAAAGUGUAGUAAAAACAUACUUUCGAAAAUUUUAACACCAUUUACUACUUAGGAGGUCAAUUUUAAACUUGAUGCUGCAAAAUAAAAGAUUGAAUCAGAGAUUUAAAAAAAGUAAUUUCAUUAAAAAGCACUCUUUUAGCUUUUAGACUUGGAUUAAAAUCUAGUUUGAAAUAAGAUUUAAUUUGAAAAGGUGUUUAUUUGUCAAAUUUUUUAAUUUGAAAUCAUGAUUUUGUGUUGAAAAGUGUUUUCCAGACUCCAAUUAUAUAUGUCACUACUACUUACAUAUUGGAGGAUUGUUUGGGCAGAACAUGACUCCAGCAAUAAUUGCUAGUGUUGAAACAAUGCUAGAAAAGUGGAAAGGCCAAGAAGGCAAAGAGAUUGAAGUGUACCAAGAAUUUAGGUUAUUAACUUCAGAAGUGAUUUCCAGAACAGCAUUUGGUAGCAAUUACAUGGAAGGGGAGAAGAUAUUUGCCAUCUUGAGAAAGUUGACAGUAAUUAUGAGUCGAAAUCUUUCCAAGACUAGAAUUCCUUUGAUCAGGUAUCUUCCCUCUAAGCUUAAUUAAUCCCAACUUUUUCCUUGAUUUCAUGUAGCUUUUGAAUGCAACUUUUAGACUUUCAUUCCCCAUGGAUUUGGUUUUCUCAUAUAUAGCUGACCCUGGUUUGCUUUUGCAGCAAGUUGUGGAAAUCUGCUGAUUUGCUAGAGUCUGAAAAACUUUCAAAAGAAAUAAAAGAUCGUGUGAUGAAGAUUGUUAAGAAAAGAGAAGACAAAGUUGUGAAUGGAGAAGUCAAUAGCUUCCGCAGUGAUUUUCUUGGAUUACUUCUAAAUGCCUAUCAUGAUUCGGAUGCGAAAAACAGGCUUUCAUUGGAAGACGUGGUAGCUGAAUGCAAAACAUUCUAUUUUGCUGGACAAGAAACUGUUAAUUCCUUACUUGCAUGGAUAGUCUUGCAUUUGGCAAUCCAUGGAGAUUGGCAAGAAAAAGCGAGAAGAGAGGUGGUUGACAUAUUUGGUAACCAAAAUCCACAUCUCGAAGGCAUCGCCAAACUCAAAAUAGUAAGAAAACUAUCUAACUGGGAAUUCAAAUAGCCAUCGACAUGAUGUAAUCUGACAUAUUUUUCUAUUUUCCAAACAGAUGACUAUGAUCAUCAAUGAAACUCUAAGAUUGUAUGGUCCAACAAGUGUCCUCCAAAGAACAGGUACAAGAGAAAUUCAGUUGGGAAAGCUACUCUUGCCCGCUAAUAUAGAUAUUCUGCCUUUAAAUAUUGGACUUCACCGGGACCCUCACUUUUGGGGAAAUGAUGUGCAUCAUUUUAAACCUGAGAGAUUCGCUGAAGGGAUUGCCAAAGCUACCAAUUACACCGCGGCUGCCUUUUUCCCCUUCGGAUUAGGACCUCGAUCUUGUGUUGGUAUGACAUUUGCAAUGAUAGAAACCAAGAUUGCUCUCUCCAUGGUUCUACAACGCUACACCAUUACCCUUUCCCCUGCCUAUGUCCACUCUCCAAUACUUAUUCUUACCCUUCAACCCCAAAAUGGAAUUCAAGUAAUACUUGAGCCGAUACAUAGUAAUGCAUGAAGUACAUAGCCGUUAAGAACUAGAGGUUUAACAUGGUUCGUGAAUUCUACUUUUAAG
rnacentral:lncRNA from 1 species